UAAACAAUGGUCUGGGGCAAUCCGUGCAAACACACGAUUCGGUCAAUGUACAACUCUGCAUACUUUUGAGCCUUAUCAGUGGUGUGCACUGGGAGAAAAUGUGUCACUUUUGUCAGUCAGUCCACAAUAACCCAAAUUGAAUCAUGAUGAUGAGAGGUGUUGGGCAGACCCACAAUGAAAUCCAUGCAGAUGUCAUCCCAUUUCCACGAAGGUAUAGAUAGGGGUUGCAAAGCUCCAACUGAUUUUAAGUGGCUUGCCUUUAUCCUCUGACAGGUGUCACAUUCUGAUACAUAUUGGGCUAUCUCCCUCUUCAUUCUGGUCCACCAAUACAAAGGCUUCAGAUCAUGGUACAUUUUGGUGCUCCCUGGAUACAUGGAGAAUUUGGAGAGAUGAGCCUCAUCCAAGAUUUUCUUCUUGGGAUCCUUGCUUUUAGGAACCACCAAUCUGCUUUCGAACCACAAUAUACCCUUUCCAUCUUGGCAGAAACAUUUAUACUUCUCAGUCUUCUGAUGGAGGUUCUCCUUAAUAAUUUGCACUCCCUUGUCACUGAGCUGGGCCAUGAUGAUCUGGUCUUGCAAAGCUGGCUCAAUGGAAAUGUGAGACAAAGCGCCAGAAGGAAUCAAUUCAAUCUUCAUCUUGCUCAACUCAUCACACAAGGUGUCAAUGCGAGAAUCCAUCAUAACACAGUUGCAUUGCAACUUCCGACUCAAGGUAUCCGCCACUACAUUGGCCUUUCCUGGGUGAUAAUGUACCUCCAGGUCAUAAUCCUUGAUCAGCUCUAGCCAUCUUCUCUGCCUCAUGUUGAGAUCAGCCUGAGUAAAGAUAUACUUAAGGCUCUUAUGAUCAGUGAAGAUGUUGUAGUGGGUUCCCAUCAAAUAGUGUCUCCACAUUUUCAAUGCAUGAACCACGGCUGCCAACUCCAGGUCAUGAGUGGGAUAAUUUUGCUCAUGAGGCCUGAGUGCUCUUGAUGCAUAAGCAAUGACUCGGUUGUCUUGCAUUAAGACACAACCCAGUCCAGUGCCAGAGGCAUCACAAUACACAUCAAAUGGCUUGCUGCUGUCGGGUUGCGCUAACACCGGUGCUGUGGUCAGAUGUUGCCUUAAUGCAUGAAAGGCAUCUUCGCACUUCUGACCCCAAACAAACUUGGCUUCUUUCUUCAAUAGCUCAGUUAUGGGCUUCGCAAUUCGAGAGAAAUCUGGAAUGAAUCUUCGGUAAUAACCAGCUAAUCCUAGAAAACUCCGAAUCUGACGGACAGUCGUGGGUGGCUUACAGUUCAUCACCUCUUGCACCUUAUCAGGAUCAACAGCUAUACCUGCCUGAGAGAUAGUGUGACCCAAUAAUUUGAUCUCCUUUAGCCAAAAAUCACAUUUUGACAAUUUGGCAUAAAGGUGGUGCUCUCGCAGACGUUGAAGCACUACAUGCAAAUGCCUGACAUGUUCUUCUUCGUUCUUCGCGUACACCAAGAUAUCAUCAAUGAAAACCACUACGAACUUGUCCAAUUCAGGCAUGAAAACAGAAUUCAUCAGAUACAUGAAAUAUGUUGGUGCAUUAGUGUUGGAACUUGCUCUCUGGUGCAAGGGGAUCCAACGGGGGUGUGUAGUGACGUAAACAGGGUUCUCGCACGAGAUGGCAAUAGCUCUGUUAAUCUAGCCUCUCAAGGGCACUGUGCGGGGGUAUUUAUAGGUAUUGGAGUGCCCAGCGUCUUGUGUUAAGGACGCAUGUGCCCUCAGACACCUAGGUUAUCCCCAGAAUAUUCCCAUAAAGCGGGGUUACAGACCGUAUUUACAGGGAUGCCUUUACAAACUAGGCCUGUAACGCGCAGCUGCCACGCAGGGCCUGUUACAAUGGGCCGGAUCACACGUGGGCCUCCAUGCUGGACGAGGUCGCAAGAUGGGACGACCUCGUCACAGGUCUUCAUCCGAUGAGGUAUGGGACGAAGGGUGAGCCUGCCCGUUGUUUUGUCUCCAUUGGUCCAACGAUUACGGCGAAGGCAUCGAGCGAAGGGUGGCGUCUUCGCCUUCGCCCCAACAUUUGCCCUCCGAGGGACCAGUUCGACUAAGUCAUCUGGUGCCGAAGACGUCGCUAGAUGGCGGAGACGCUGCCCUCGCUCGAAGUGGUUCCGCGGGGGUUUUUGACAUGACCGUUGAUUGACGCCGUACUGUUGGACUGCGGGUUUCCCGAAGCGCCGCGCCCUGUGUAUAAAAGGGGGCGGGGGGCGACACGUUUUGAACUUUAUCUUUCCACGCUCCAUGAAAACCCUAGCCGCCUUUUCCACCUUCUUGCUGCUCGUCUGCCCUCCUUGCACUUGUUCGCCGGAGAUCUGGCCCGAGUGAAGCAGACCGCCCGCCGCCGCCGACUGUACGUAGCGAUGCCGACCUCUUCUUCUUCUGUUGUCGCUACGCCGCCGGCCGACGCGUCGUCUGAGGAGACGCUGAGCACUUUGGCGGCGGAGGAGUUGCGCGCCUGCGAUACGGUGGAUUUCGGUGUGUCGCGGAUGUCCUCGGUCCACGUGCAAGAUAUGCAGCAGCUUGGUUACUUUGGUGGCGGAGUCGCGCGUGUCCCGGGGACGGAGGAGGUCCCCGAGCCGGAAGGCGAGUUGGUUGUGUUCGAGGCGUUCUUUGCCGCUGGUCUUCGCCUGCCUGCGCACCGAUUUGUGGGAGAAGUCCUGCGCAGAUUUAACGUUCAGAUCCAUCAACUGACUCCGAAUGCCGUGGUGGCUCUUUCGAAGUAUGUCUGGGCGACGACUUCGUACGGCGGACAGCCAUCAGUCGAAGUCUUCGCGAAGUACUAUUGCCUGCACUGGCAGAAGAGGAUGAUCGGAAAUGAAGUUGCCCAGUUUGGGUCCUAUACAUUUACGCCGAAGACCGGCAAGACCUCGAUGGAGGUAGUUGAGUUGGUUCCUUGCGCCCGCAACAAGUGGGGCAGCUGGCAUGAGUUUUGGUUCUACGUCACGGAGGGCACAGUCGAAGACCAUCCGGGGCUCCCCGUGGCCGAGAUGUGCUCGCAUUAUUACUCAGCAUACCCGCCGUUUGAAGUGGCAGAGGAGGAUGCGGACGAAGGGGCCCUUCGGUGCGCCGCCGGCCUGAGCAGCGAGCGCGAUUUGGUUGAGGAGUUUGUGGCGUACGGGGUAUGGCCUUUGGCGCAUGGCUGGGCGUUGGGCGAAGUAUGCCCUUGCCAGAUGCCUUCCCAUGGUGGGAAGCUGGUGCGAAGUCCCGCCUUCGCGCUGGAUCUGCAUAGCCGCGAUCCGGCCGCCUUUGUGCGUGAGGCGGAGGAUGGGGCGGUGCGGAUCGUCGGUCGGUACGUGCCGAAGACAGAGGGCCAGCAUAGCUGGGAUAUUCGCGGGUCUAAUGACCGCUUGAACAGGGUUUUUGAGUUGAACCGUCUGCCGUAUGGCGGUUAUCCUGGCCAAGACAAUGUGGAUCGUCGCGGGAAGAAACCGGUGGUAGAGACUGGAGAUGACCCCGCGCCGGCGGCCGCCCCGUCCUCUAAGAAGAGGAAACUAGGUAUUGCUAUGGGAGGACUGGGGGUUUCUGAUGGUUUUGCUAGGGAAUUGAUGAGGACAUGCGUGCCCCGGGGGGAAGGAUGUCUUCGCCCGAGCUCCGGGAGUCUUCGGCGCGGAUGCUGAGGGUUACCGGGGGUUGGUGGCCUAAGAAUGUUCCUAUCCCCCGCGUGGCCGGCGAAGACUUUUUUACAUCUCGCAUGGUUCGUGAUUGGAAAGUGUUUCCUUACGGGCGGAAUAUUGCUGCUGUUGUGUCGGCAGUGAUGGACAAGGAUCGUCAGGGAGCUGCGCAGAAGCGCCAGGAGGUCGUCAGGCUUCAUGAGGCCAGGCCGAAGAGGCCGAGGGGGCUGCGAAGGCUGCUGCCCCCGGCGGAAGCCAACCGCCGCUGGCGGCGAAGUCGGCCGUCCCUGCAUCCAGCAGGGCACCGGAGGCUGCGAAGGCGGCUGCCGCCGGUGGUUCCAAGUCUGUGAAGGCCGCCCCUGUGUCUAGCAGGGUGCCAGAGGCUGCGAAGGCGGCUGCCGCCGGUGGUUCCAAGUCUGUGAAGGCCGCCCCUGUGUCCAGCAGGGUGCCGGAGGCUGCGAAGGCGGCCCGAGAGUUGCCGCCGCCGGGCAAGCGCGUCGCCGACUUCGCCACCGACAUUAUUGUGGAAGAUUAUCUUGUUGGUAAGUCGUUGGCUCGAGUUUUUUUUAAUCUGUUGAUACGUCGCAGGGUUGGACGAAAGCCAACUUGUUGUUGUUCCGCCUGCCGUGGCGACCGCGGCGGCUGCCGUGGUGCCCAGGGCGAAGAGCAGUGCUCUUAGUGCCGGUGGCGAGAUACUGGCACUCACUGCCGUCAGGGACGAGGCGGGUGCUGUGUCCCGCCGGCUGAAGGAGCUGAAGGAGGCACUAAGUCAGGUAAGUUGAGGUAGACUUUGGUUUUUUACCGGCUUCGCUGGGGCUGUGGUCUUAUGUGUGUCUUGUAGGCGGCUGACUUCGCAGACUGCGUGGCGUCGGGGGCCCUGACGACAGUUGUGUCUGCCGAAGUCGAGAGACUUCGGACGCAACAUGCUGACGCCGUCUGGGAAAAGUCGGCCGCCGACAGCAAGUGCCGCAAGCUGGCGGAUAAGGUGGUCGCGCUGGAGGGUGAGAGGACUGACCUCCGGCGCCAACUGGCGGAGGAAAGGAAGUAGGCUAAUGAGGCCCUCGCCAAGGCGCAGUCUGCGCAGGCGGAGGCCAAUUUGGCGCGGGCGGAGGGCAGUCAUGCCAGGCAGUGCGCCGAGGAGUUGGAGGGGCGGCUCGACGCUCUGCAGACCCGUGUGGAGAGGGCCGAGGCUUCGACGCGCUCGGAGGCUGAGCGGACACGCAAACAGCUUAUGGAUUCAUACCAUGAGCUGGGCGCGCGGACCGCUGACUUCGAAGUGCCGGACCGAGAGCCCGGACUUUGCUGCCUCGAGUGGAUACAGGAGGAGUUGCUGGCGCUCCCCGCCAUCGUGGAGGGGUUUAUGUCCUAUGCCUCCCUGGUCACUUGCGAGGGGGCGAUGAACGCGCUCUCUCGCGAAGGGUGCCGGCACUAUGAGGUCUUCGACCAAGCUGAUGAGGAUUUCGAGCGCAAUAUUUACAAGGUUGAGGACCCUGUGGUGAAGGAAUCCGCGGGAGCCCUCUACGACCGGAUGUGGGGCCCCCACGAUCGGGAGGUGGUCAGGGAGCAGGCCGAGACGGCAAGGGGUCAGGUAAUGUUUGGCUUUUGUUUGGUGUUUUUUGAAUGUGGGUUAUAUGUGGGUUUGCUGAAUCUGUGUGUUGUGUCUCAGGCGGCGCGUGGCGAGAGGGUGGAUGACUUCGGGGCUUUGAACAGCGCACAGCCUGACUCGGAGUCGAACCCGCAGGUGGCUGUGUCCGAGACCGCCCCGGAGCUGCCCCCGGAAACCGUCGAAGGCGUUCCCGAUGCUCCCGCAACCACUGCGGCCGGCGGAGGCCCAUCGCCAACAGCCGCGCCGAGGGCUGAGGAUCCUGUGAAGAUGGCGGCGGAGCCGGCAGCGGAGGCUCCCACGACGGCUGGGUCUUCGCAGGUGGCUUAGUGGGUGUGGGUAGUUAGGGAAUUUUGGAUAUGUUGCUGAACCUUGGUUGCUGCACAGGUUCAAGAUUUUGGGCCUGCGCAUGCAACCGCUACUGCUAAUUUUUUGGCGGCUUCGACCGUGGAUGAUGGGAAUAAAUCGGAUGAGUCUGCAUCUAAGUUUUCUGGUUUUGGUGACUCUGGGAGCUCGGUUGAGUGGACCGAAGAGUCGUCGGAUGAGGACUUGGACUACUUUGCGGCCUUGGAUGUGGCAGCGGCGGAGGCUUCGCCGCCUGCUGCGGAUGCUGAAGUUGUGCCUGGUUCGAGUGCUGGGCGUAGGCGGCGAAGGGCGGUCGCGAAGCGUAGAGUGAGUGAGGCGGACGGUGGUCGGCUUCGAGUGAGUAGGGCUGGCAGGCAGGAACUGCUGUCCUUGCCGGCCACUGUGAGUUCAGGUGAGGGGGAGCUGCGAAGUCUUUUUGCGGGUGAGGAGCUGAGGAUAAUGCUAUUUAACUAUAGGGAGAUGGGAAUUAUUCCGAAGGUUGAGCCGAUGUAAAGUGUGAUGCCCUCGCUUGUACAUAUGUAAUGGCUUGUAUGAUGAAGUUGUGUGCUUUCGGCUAUGCUCACGAAGGCGUUACAUACUUGGUCUGGUGUAUUUGUUAUGUUGGUCUGGUGCGCAUGUAGUCGGUCUUUGCGCGGACAAUUUGGUGUAGUCGUUUUCGCACUUGUUAAGCUUCGUCCGGCUGCACCCUUAAGCGACUGUUGCACGGAUAGUCUUCACGAAAGACUUCGAUUUUUCGCACUUGUUGUGCUAGCCCGGCUGCACCCUUAGGCGACUUCUGCACGGAUAGUCUUCGCGGAAGACUAUGAUUGUUCGCACUUGUUGUGCUAGUCCGGCUGCACCCUUAGGCGACUUCUGCACGGAUAGUCUUCGCGGAAGACUACGAUUGUUCGCACUUGUUGUGCUAGUCCGGCUGCACCCUUAGGCGACUUCUGCACGGAUAGUCUUUGAGGAAGACUACGAUUGUUCAUACUUGUUGUGCUAGUCCGGCUGCACCCUUAGGCGACUUCUGCACGGAUAGUCUUCGCGGAAGACUUCGAUUUUUCGCACUUGUUGUGCUAGCCCGACUGCACCCUUAGGCGACUUCUGCACGGAUAGUCUUCGUGGAAUACUAUGAUUGUUCGCACUUGUUGUGCUAGUCCGGCUGCACCCUUAGGCGACUUUUGCGCGGAGUUGUCGCACGCGAGGGUGGCUAGCGCUGGGCCUCGUGGUGACUUUGUAUUGGUCGAAUGUCGAAGACCGUCGGCGCGGUCUUUUUUCGAUGCAGGUUUUUGCGGGGGAUUUUUCACUUGUAUAUUAUAUGACUCCGCAUCGUUAAAAACCUCACCCCCUGGGAGGAAAAGAGUGCGGGCCGGAAUAAAAUUGUUUUUGUGAAUUACAAGGGCGAAUCGGCCCUGAUGAGUCAAACAAAAAAUUUGCGGAGAUUGUCGAUGUUCUAGGAGUGCUCCAGGUCUUCGCCGUUUGGCGUUGCGAGCCUGUAAGCGCUGGGGGAAGCCUUCGUCUUGACAAUGAAAGGGCCCUCCCACUUGGGCUCCAGCUUGCCCCUGGACUCUGUCCGAGCUGUUCGGAUGAGUAUGAGGUCCCCUUCGCUGAAUUCCCUUGGGAUGACUGCGUGGUCGCGCCAUGCUUUUGUCUGGGCUUGGUAUUUAUUUAGAGCCUGUAGGGCGAAGACUCGGUCUCCAUCGAUGAGAUCCUUCGAAGUGGGCUCGUCUCGUCUCGAUCCAUUGGGAUGACUGCGUGGUCGCCCCUGGACAAUGUUUUACCAAAAGAAUUUCUGUGCAGUCUUUGAUGUUAUUGUGGAAACAGCCCUCGCCUCGAUCCAUUUGGUAAAGUAUUCGACAGCGACGAAGGUGAACUUGAGGUUCCCCUGAGCCGUGGGCAGGGGCCCGACGAUGUCCAGGCCCCAGCGCUGGAGAGGCCAUGUGUGGGCGAUCAGUUUUGUGAAUUGCGAGGGGCUGCCUGAUUGAGGAGAAAACUUCUGGCAGGCUUCGCAGGACCUUGCAACCCGAUUUGCGGCGCAGAUCAUUGCGGGCCAGUAGAAACCUUGGCGGAUCACCUUUGCGGCUAGGGCCCUUGGCCCUGCGUGAGAGCCGCAAGUACCACUGUGGACUUCGCGCAGGAUUUGGAUGCCUUCAAUCUCAGUGACGCAUUUAAGCAUUGGCUGACUGACCCCUUUCUUGUAGAGUUGGCCCUCAAUCAGUGCGAAGUCCCGGCUUCGAUGUUCGAGGCGCUUGGCCUCGUUGAUGUCGGUUGGGUGGUAGUACCCCUGUAGGAACAGGUUAUUGGUGCCCGCCAGUCUUCGGUCAUAAUAAGGUUGACUAUGCGGUGGCCCUCGCUGUCAUUAGUUAUUUGGAGCCCUUCGGGGCUCCGGACGGCUGGCUUGCCGAUGACAUGGUAGAACACGUCGGAGGGCAGGGACUCGCCUCUGGCGGCAGCCUUGGCCAAUGCGUCGGCCUCUUCAUUCUUGGCCCGAUCCACAUGCUGCAAGGUGAAUCCCUUGAAUUGUCUCUCGAGACUUCGGAUGGCCGCGAGGUAUUGCAUAAGUGCGGGGUCCUUUGCUGCAUAGUCUUUUUCGACUUGGCCGACAACUACCUUGGAGUCUGUUCUGAUAAUGUAGGUGGUGACACCAAGGGCCCGCAGCUUGCGGAGGCCGAGGAUGACUGCUUCGUAUUCUGCUAUGUUGUUUGUGCAUCUGUCAGAUUCCAGAGCGAAGCUGAGGCAUGCCGCGUAUCUGUGCUUGACCCCGGUGGGUGAGGUGAUGACUGCAGCGGCGCCUGCCCCCACGUGGCACCAUGCGCCGUCGCAGUGAAUCGUCCAAACCUUCUCUGCGGACGGGUCCGGCUGUGUUAUUGGCCCAGUCCAGUCGACGACGAAGUCUGCUAGGACUUGUGACUUGAUGGCUGUCCUGGGCACGAAGUUGAUGUGGUAGCCGGAUAGCUCAGCCGCCCACUUGGCAAUCCUGACCGAUGCCUCCGGGUUUCGGAACAAUUCACCUAGUCCCCUGUCUGAGGUGACUCGGACCUUGAAUGCUUCAAAAUAAUGGCGCAAUUUGCGCGAAGACAUAACAACUGCGUAGGCAAUCUUCUCCAGUUCUGUCAUGUUACAUUUGGAUGGUGUUAGCACUUCGGAGACGUAAUAGACUGGGCACUGCCUGAUCACGCCCUCAACUGUCUGCUCCUACACCAGUGCCGCGCUGACCGCAUGUGGCGAAGCUGCAACAUAGAGCAACAGGGGUACUGAAGAGUCGGGGCUUGUAAGGAGUGCCAACUCCGACAGGUACUGUUUUAAUGAGGCGAAGGCCGCUGCCUGCUCUGGUCCCCAAGCGAAGUCUUUUGCGCCACGGAGAGUUUUGAGGAAAGGGAGACUUUGCUCAGCAGAUUUGGAGAUGAAUCUGUUGAGGGCGGCCAACCUGCCCGUCAGGCGCUGGACGUCUCUGGCGGACUGCGGAGGCGUCAUGUUGAUGAUGGCCUGAAUUUUGGUUGGGUUGGCCUCGAUGCCGCGGUGUGAUACCAGGUAACCCAAUAUUUUCCCUUGGCGAACGCCGAAGACGCACUUUUCCGGGUUUAGGCGAAGUCGUGCGUCUCGCAUGUUCGCGAAUGUCUCGGCGAGGUCAGCGAGAUGAUCCUCCUUGCUCCUGCUGGCGACGACGAUGUCAUCCACAUAUGUGAAUAUAUUUCUGCCAACUUGCCCCUCGAGCACUGUUUUGGUAAGCCGGUAGAAAGUGGACCCGGCGUUCUUGAGUCCCUCCGGCAUUCUGAUGAAGCAAUAUGUGCCGAAGGGUGUUAUAAAGCUGGUGCUAGCCUUGUCUUCCUCCUUCAUGUAUAUUUUGUGGUAACCGGAGAAGCAGUCGAGGAGUGACAUGACUUCGCAUCCGGCCACGCUAUCGACUAUUUUGUCGAUCCGCGGCAACGGGAAGUUGUCCUUUGGGCAGGCCUUGUUGAGACUGGUGAAGUCGAUGCACAUUCGCCACUUGCCGCUCUUUUUCUGCACUAUCACAACGUUGGAGAGCCACGUGGGGUAAGCCACUGGCUCGAUAAAUUUGGCUUCCAGGAGGCGGUGUACCUCUGCCUUGGCGGCCUCUGUCUUCUCGUCGGACAUUUUGCGAAGCCGCUGUUUUUUCGGUCUCACCGAAGGGUCGAUUCCCAAGUUGUGCUCAAUUAUGGAUCAACUGACCCCGACCAGGUCGAGGGCUGACCAGGCGAAGACGUCUUUGUUCUUGGACAAGCAGCAGAGGAGUUUCUCCUCUUCAUGCGAAGUGAGGUCUUCGCUGAUAGUGACUGUCUGCUUGGGCGUGGCCUGGUCGAGGGGAACAGUCUUGGUCCCGUCGUUGCUCUGCAGCUGUGCCUUGUCGUGCUCUUUGUCGGUUGGGCUGACGGACGCAGGGACCUCGCGCUGGGCCGUGAGGCAGUGCACAUUUCUUUGUCUGGGGACGAAGUCCCGCUCUAUGUUGCGCGCAGUCUGUUGAUUGCCGUAGACCGCAAUGGCGCCUAACGGACCUGAUAUCUUCAUGCACAGGUACAGUCCGUGAAUGGCUGCCUCAAACAUGUUGAUAGAGCCCCGGCCCAUGAUGGCAUUGUACGGAUACACCAUAUCGACGAUAUCGAAGGUUAUUUGCUCACUUCGGGCAUUGGGUGCUACACCGAAGGAGAGAGGCAGUUCUAUUUUGCCGACAGGAAAAGUGCCCUUGCCGCCGAUACCAUACAAUGGGUUGUCCGAAGGCUUGAGCAGGCUGUGGCUUAUGCCCAUGCGGUCGAAAGCAUGGAAGAAAAUGAUGUCUGCUUGACUGCCAUUGUCGACUAGGACUAUGUGCAGGUCCCAGCCUGCCACGCUAUAGUUGAUAACCAUAGCGUCGAUGUGGGGGGCGCUGAGCAGGUCGACGUCUCGUGCGUCGAAGGUUAGCGGUACGUGGGACCACUUUGUCUACACGACUGGGCCGGUGAUGGCGACGUGGUUGAUGCUGCGGUAGUGGUCCCGCUUCUGCCGCUUUGUGUCAAAGUCGGUGCUGGACCCCCCAGUGAUCAUAUGAAUGACUUCGCGAUACGGCUGAUCGGCGAAGUCUUCUUGUUUUGGGGCGUGGGGGUGGGGGAUGUUCUGAUGUUGCUGGUGUGGAGGUGGGGGUGGGGGAGGUACGAUUUGUACUUCCUGGUGGUGUUGGUAUGCGUGGUGUGGUGGAUGCGGGGCGGGGGCGUGGAUGUAUGGUGGAGGGGGUUGCUGAUAAGUGUGCGCGACAACUCUGGGGUUGUCGGCUGGCUGCGCCCGUGCCAUCCUGUCUUUGGUGGCCUUCAUUUCUGGGCAGUCUCUAGUUUGGUGGGCGCAGUCUUCACCAUGAAAAAGACAGUAGAACUGGCGCGGCGGCUGCGCACGCCCCCGACCCCUACCGCGAGUUCCGUUUCCGCGGCCCUGAGGGGGAUACUCCUGGCGGCGAGGGGCAUCAGCAGCGGGGUGCUGGUUGGCGAUGUUGUGCACUUGCUGCUGAUUGCGGUCGUCUCGACUGGAGUCUGGCUACGGAGUCCUCGUCCACGUGCGGCUGGACUGUGGAGCAUCUUUGGGUUUCCUCUGAGACUCAACCUUGCGCUGGUGGAGCUCUUCGGAUUUGGCAUAUUUUUCAAAGAGCUGAUAUAAUUCCUGGAGGUUCUUGGGCGGGUCCCUGAUGCAGUGGCUAUAAAGGACGCCGGCGCGAAGGCCACUGAUGGCGUAGUGUAUGGCGAUCUGGUCAUCAACUGAGGGCAUCUGUGACUUGAGUGUUAGAAACUUGCGGUAAUACUCUCGCAGAGUCUCUUUUUCCAGCUGCUUGCAGAGUGAGAGUUCGGCCAAGGCGUCGGUGUCUGGGCGGUACCCUUGGAAGUUGAGCAGGAAUUUGCCCCGGAGGCUUCUCCAGGAGUCAAUGGACAGCGGGGGCAACCUGGUGAACCAGGUGAGAGCUGGGCCUUCUAGGGCGAUGAUGAAAGACUUGGCCAUCGUGGAGUCGUCCCCUCCGGAAGAUGCAACGGCGACCUGAUAACUCAUGAUGUACUGUGCUGGGUCCGUGCUGCCGUUGUACUUGGGAUAGGUCCCUGCCCGGAAGUUGGCAGGCCAGGGUGUCACUUGCAGGUGUGGCGCCAGGGGACUUCGCUCGUCGAGGUAGUUGACCCCUUGGAAUGGCGCGGCGUGUAGGAAGGCGUGGUCACGCUGGGGGAAGUGCAGGUCUUCCAUUUGCGCGCGCUGCUGCAGGGGUGGCCCGUGCUGCAGGCCGAGGUGGCCUUCAUGUAUGUCUUCCAGUAGUGCGCGCUGUUGCAGGGGUGGCCCGUGUUGCAGGCCGAGGUGGCCUUCGCGCUGCAUCAGCGCGAUCUCCCGCUCGAGGUCCUGGGCCUUCUGCUCUUCGUCGCGUAUCAUUUGCCGCACCUUGGCUAGUGUGGACACGCGCUGGCGCUUGGCCUCCAGUAUCUCUUUUUGCCUCUGGAGAUUGCGGUUCUUGAUGCGCAGGGCACGGAGCUAUAGCUGUUCUUCCGCUGAGACGCCGAGGACUUCGCCGUCCUCGGUGAGGUCCGCGCCCUCCGGUGGGGUGAAGCCUGGGGGAGGUUGCGUUUGUCCUUCAGGGCCGCAGGUGCGGAGAGCGUCGUCUUCGCAGGUGCGGAGAACAUCGUCUUCGCAGGUGCGGAGAAUGUCGUCUUCAGUAGCCUCUUGGUGGGUGGAAUGGGUGAGUGCGAGGGCCUUGCCCUUUUUUGCGGCCAGCAGUGCUGCCUUCGCAGCCUCGUCAGCCUUCGAGUUAGCUUUCUUGGGUGCCAUCGCGGGUGGUUUUUUCGUAGCACGAACGGUGGGCGCCAAAUGUUGGAACUUGCUCUCUAGUGCAAGGGGAUCCAACGGGGGUGUGUAGUGACGUAAACAGGGUUCUCGCACGAGAUGGCAAUAGCUCUGUUAAUCUAGCCUCUCAAGGGCACUGUGCGGGGGUAUUUAUAGGUAUCUGAGUGCCCAGCAUCCUGUGUUAAGGACGCAUGUGCCCUCAGACACCUAGGUUAUCCCCGGAAUAUUCCCAUAAAGCGGGGUUACAGACCGUAAUUACAGGGAUGCCUUUACAAACUAGGCCCGUAAUGCGCAGCUGCCACGCAGGGCCUGUUACAAUGGGCCGGAUCACACGUGGGCCUCCAUGCUGGACGAGGUCACAAGAUGGGACGACCUCGUCACAGGUCUUCGUCCGAUGAGGUAUGGGACGAAGGGUGAGUCUGCCCGUUGUCUUGUCUCUGUUGGUCCAACAAUUACGGCGAAGGCAUCGAGCGAAGGGUGGCGUCUUCGCCUUCGCCCCAACAAUUAGUCAGCCCAAAAUACAUCACCAAGAAUUCAUAUAGCUCAUAUCUGGUUGAGAAGGCGGUCUUCGGAAUAUCACUUGCUCGUAUCUUGAUCUGAUGGUAGCCGGAGCGAAGGUCUAUCUUGGAAAACACUUUGGCUCUGACCAACUGAUCGAAAAGAACAUCAAUACGAGGCAAAGGAUACUUGUUCUUGAUAGUCACCGCGUUAAGUGGGCGGUAAUCGAUGCAUAGCCUCAAGCUUUCAUCCUUCUUCUUCACAAACAAGGCUGGACAACCCCAAUGCGAAGUACUUGGGCGGAUAAAACCCUUGUCCAGCAAUUCUUGCAAUUGCUUCUUCAAUUCUGCCAACUCAGCGGGUGGCAUCCGGUAAGGCCUCUUGGAAAUAGGUGUCGUUCCUGGUUGCAACUCGAUGGCGAAUUCAAUAUCCCAGUCUGGUGGCAUUCCUGGCAAUUCUUCUAGAAAAACGUCUGCAUACUCAUAGACCACUGGAAUCUUCUUCAGGGGUAACUCCGUCAUAGCAAAAGCACAUGACUGAGUAGAAUCUUGACUGGGCAGAAACAAGGUGGAACUACCACAAAUUGGGGAAUUGAUUUCCACAAUGCGGCUGGCUACAUCAAGCACUACUUGGUGCCUGCUCAUCCAAUUAGCUCCCAAAAUAAUAUCCACAUUCUCCAAACCCAAAACAAGAAGGGUGGUUUUGAUAAUGUGGCUUCCCAGUUGAAUAGGCACACUUUGGUUUAAUUGAUUAGUCGCAAUUUUACCCCUAUGUGUGGCUAUCAUGAAUGACCCUUUUGUAUGAUAGAAAAGCAGUUGACAUUUAGCACUGAACUUUUGGCUAAUGAAACUAUGAGAUGCACUAGAAUCAAACAGAAUUAAAGCAGGUUGAUUAUAAACUGAAAAGAUACUAGUCAUGAUGGGGGCUCCCUCAAGUAACUCCUCCAAAGUAGUGAAGUUGAGCUUCCCUUGUCUGACUUGUACCUUCUGCUUUCUUCCCUUGUCUUGAUUUGGUGCUGGCAUCUGCCUCUGCUGAUUUCUUGGGCAAUUCUUGGCAUAGUGGCCCACAUUGCCACAAGUGAAGCACUUGUUCCCAUUGCCCUGGCAGAACUGCUGCUGCUGUGGAGGAUGAUUGUUCCUUGGAGCGGGAGCUAGAAAACGAGUGGGUGCCGGCUGCUGCUGCUGAGGUGGCCUGAUCACCCAUCUGCAUGCCUGCUACUGAAAUCCCCUGCUCUGAUUGUGAGAAACAAUCCUGAACCUCUAGGCCUGAGCGGAUGGUGCUGUCAUUGGUGCCUUUCUCUUCUUCUCUGCCCGGUGAGCUACAAUACAGUCUUCCUGGGAGAUGGCCAGGUUGACCAACUCAUUGAAGCUAUCAGCCCGGACAGUGUUGAGACGUUCCCGCAGUUUGGUGUUGAGACCCCUGCGGAAGCAGUCUCUCUUCUUCUCGUCAGAAUCAACAUGAUAACCUGCGUACUGGCACAGCUCGUUGAAGGCCUGAGCGUACUGCAAUACUGUGCGGGUUCCUUGAUUGAGUGCCAGAAACUCAUUCAGCUUGCGAUCAAGAAUUCCGGCUGGGAUGUGGUGUCCUCUGAGAGCAGUCUUGAAUUCCUCCCAAGACACUUCAUGAUCAGCAGGUAGCAUAGCAUGGAAGUGUCCCACCAAGUCCGAGCAAGGCCGCGAAGCUGCUGCGCGGUGAAGCGAGCCUUGGUAUCAUCAGGGCAGUCUCCCGCGAGGAGGGGAAACUUGGACUCCACGACACGUAGCCACACGUCGGCAUCCAAUGGAUCCUUUGCCUUGGUGAACAAGGGUGGCUGCGUGCUCAGGAAUUCCUGGUAGGUUGCCGCUGCUGGAGGUCGCUGUGGCUGGCCUCCACCAUGCUGCUGGGGCUGGCGCUGGCGCUGCAAGAGCUAUCGCAGAAUCUCAUUCUACUGGGCCAUCAACUCCUGCAUUGUGGGAGCUGGAGGAGGUGGUGGGGGAACUUGCUCGUUAUGCUCGCGACGCUGCCUAGCUGCCAUCUAGAAACAGAGAUCGUCGCCAUUGUUAUCACAGUUUCAAACAACAAGCUAUUAUCUCAUAUGGAAAUAAAAUUUCCAUAAUCCUAAUAUUAAGUUCAAAUGAAGAUAACAUGGUUACAAACAUCCCAUAGAUCUCAAAAUUUCUCAAGGGUUACAUCAAUUAGGGGAAAGUACCCGUAAGCCUAGUCCAAAAUUUGCCAUUAACUAAGCUCGUGUAGGUUUCUAUCCUCCUAAGAUGUCAAAAUGACUCGUCAACCUUGAGUAGUGGAAGCGGCAGUAGAUGCGGGUGAAGGGGGCAUCGCGAAGGUAGUCCCAUUGGCACCAGGGGCUGGUCCUAACUCCUCAGGAGCCUCUUCUCCCUCGCUUCCGGCCUCAUUGGCCUCCAUCUCUAUGUGGUGCAUGUCCAGGUGGUCAUUAGCUUCUUCGAGUUCCCGCUGCACAUCAUGGAGCUGGUUCUCCAAGACAUCAAUAGUGUUGUCUCGGAUCUCCACCUGCUGCUCCAAGAUGGUGAUGCGCUGGCUCAGCCUUUCCACCUGUAGGUCCUUCUCCACCAGCUCGGAAGACAAGUCGACCACAAAGUCUUCUCGGCUAUCGAGGGUGAGCUUGGUGGUUUGAGCGAUGUUAGCAAGAUGUGCCAUAGCAUCGCUCUGCAGGGCCUGAUGGCGGUACAGCGCACUCAUGCACUGAACAGUGACUCUCCCAACCAAGUCAGGAUACAUUGCCCACACAUCCUUCACAUGGCUCACAAGGUUGCACCACAUGGGGUCAUCCUUCUUAUCAGCAGCGAAGAGUCCCAAGGGGUGCAUCACCAUCUCCAGGGGAUGGUAGCCACAGAAAGUUGUUAGAGUCUUCAUCGCUGCAACUUUAGUGGUGUCAUCUGUCCUAAAUCCAAUCGUCUCAAAGUCAAGAGAACGCCAACCCGGCUGAAGGGGAUGAGCCUCUAGAGUCAGCUAGACUCGACAAUGUGGUACUCGAUGCUCUUCGUACAACUGCACCGUGUACAAAGGGGGCGUAGGGUAACCGGCAGAGUUAAGCACUUCCCGCAAGAUUGAAGGAAAGCCAUCGUGAGAAAGGAAGUCAGAGCUGAAACGAGUGUCUCCUCCACUGGUGGGGGUAGGUGAAGUCAUCUACGGAAGGGUAUCAGAUGUAAAGAUUAUGGUGGAAGGAAGAAAAUAAGAGAGCCUGGAUGGUUUUAAAAGGAAGCGGGUUAGGUCAAAUUUUACUUCUUUAGUUAUAUUCCCUUUUAAUUUUUAUAAUGCAUGCAUGCUGAAAAUAACGUCUCCUCUCCGAAUAAAAGGGUGCUCUUAGGGCAUCCUUUAAAAAUCUAAAUACUGGCCCACAGGGCCUACUUAAUUAGCCACCUAUUUCUCCCUCUAUUCCUAAGGCCUUUCAUCCUAGGUCUAGCGUUCUAGUCCUGACGAUUCACACUAGUUUCUAAGCAAGUUUUAGAUUUUGAAAAUUGGUAUUCACGGUUUAUUGUCCUUCCCUGUGGUGGUAUUUGCUCCGAUACCAGCUGUGGCAGAACCGCCCGAAUUAUUCUAGCUUAAGUGCCUAAAUCACGCCUUAAGGGCUGUAACACACUUAAAUCGGAAUAACCCGUUGAGAGCACCUAGAGGGGGGGUGAAUAGGUGAUCCUGUAAAAACUUAAAACUUAUAGCCACAAAACUUGAUUAAGUGUUAGCACAAUAGAAUCAAGUGGCUAAGAACCAAGCUCUUGUGAAACACAAUAGUCACAAAGAAAACAAGCACAAGAGACACGAUGAUUUAUCCCGUGGUUCGGCCAAGUAUAACACUUGCCUACUCCACGUUGUGGCGUCCCAAUGGACGAGGGUUGCACUCAACCCCUUUCAAUUGAUCGAAUAAUCCACUUGAAUACCACGGUUGUUUUCUUUCUUAUACUCUUUCCCGUUUGUGAGGAAUCUCCACAACUUGGAGUCUCUCGCCCUUACAACAAAGAUCAAAGUGAAAGCACUUAGAGUAAGGGAGGGAAGCAGUACACACAAAUCUGCAGCAAUACGCACACACACAACCAAGACUUGAGCUCAAAUGAAUCGCAACAAGUUCACCACUAGAACAGAGCUCAAAUCACUAAGAAAGUCAAUCAAGUGCGCAGAGACGGAGUGUGGAAGACUUAGAAUGCUCAAAAUAUGCUUUUUUCACUCCUCCAUGCGCCUAGGGGUCCCUUUUAUAGCCCCAAGGCAGCUAGGAGCCGUUGGAGGCAUUCUUGGAAGGCAAUUCUUGCCUUCUGUCGGGUGGCGCACCGGACAGUCUGGUGCACCACCGGACAUCCACUGUUCAUUGUCCGGUGCGGAUCUCCUUCCUAAAAUGGCAUAGCCGACCGUUGCAGAAUUGUAGCCGUUGGCGCACCAGACACAGUCCGGUGCACACCGGACAGUCCGGUGCUCCCAGCCGACCGUUGGCUGGGGCCACGCGUCGUGCGCGGAUUGCACGACCGACCGUUGCGCUGGUGGCCGUUGGCUCACCGGACAGUCCGGUGCACCACCGGAUAGUCCGGUGAAUUAUAGUUGUACGCCGCUGAAGAUUUCCCGAGAGUGGCCAGUUCGCCAGAGCUGGCCUGGCGCAUCGGACACUGUCCGGUGCACCACCGGAUAGUCCGGUGCACCCAGACUGAGCAGCAGUUGGCUGUACACAGCCAACUCUUUUCCAAUCCUUUUCUUUUCCUAAUUCUAGCACUUAGACAAAUAUAUUAGUACACAAAAACCAAUUUACUAAGUCUAGAACCAUACCUUCUUGUCGAUUCGCACUUCAUCCAUCAUUUGGCAUAUAGUUACUCACUCAAUAUGUGUUGGGCACUUAAUCACCAAAAUAUACUAGAAAUGGCCCAAGGGCACAUUUCCCUUUCAAUCUCCCCCUUUUUGGUGAUUUAUGCCAACACAUCAAAAAGCAACAAAUGGAAGUGCAACAUCAAUGCAAUUGAGAACAAAAAUAGUCUUUGACAAGAUUUGACAUAUUUGGAUCGUUCUUCGCCACCACUUGGUUUGUUUUUGCAAUUCAAAUUCAUUCUCUAAGUUAAACACACAUGUUUAGACACAAAGAGAGAUAAUCCAAGAGUAAGAAUGAUUAAGAGCCAAAAACUCCCCCUCUUUCCCAUAAUCAAACAUUCUCCCCACAAGAGACCAAAUUUUGAUAGUAAGAGUUAUUUUGACGAAUCAAAAGUUCUACUCUACUCUUUUUCAAAAAUUUCACAAGUGGUAGCUGAUCCAUUUGCUUUGGCCUUAUUUUCUCCCCCUUUGGCAUUAAGCACCAAAACAGGAUCAAUCUUGGCCCUAUAACCCCAUUGCCUCACCAAAAUUGUCAACUAAGAGCAAAAAGGCAAUAUGAGUAUAGAGAUGAACUUGGAGUAAAUUACCCUCUCAUCGGAGUGCAAUGGAAGUCUUGCAUGGUCCAAGUUCACUUUUCUCUUUCAAUCAACCUUUGAGACUAAAUAGAGUAAACUCAAGCACACGGUUAGUCUCAAAGGGUCAAGUUGUAACACAUCUCCCCCUAAAUAUGUGCAUCACUCACACAUGGACUUUUGAGGUCCGGGGAUUGCUUGCACAACUUGAGCACCAUAAAGAAUAAUAUGCAUAAAGGAACAUGAUCAAAGACAUAACACUCAUUUAUGCUAUAGAUCAAUCCAAGUUAUGCGAAUCUAAGACAUUUAACUCACUACGCAGCCUGCAAAAGGUCUUCUCAUCUAAAGGCUUGGUAAAGAUAUCAGCUAGCUGGUUCUCGGUGCUAACAUAAAACACUUCGAUAUCUCCCUUUUGCUGGUGGUCUCUCAAAAAGUGAUGCCGGAUGUCUAUGUGCUUUGUGCGGCUGUGUUCAACAGGAUUGUCCGCCAUGCGGAUUGCACUCUCAUUAUCACAUAGGAGUGGGACUUUGCUCAGAGUGUAGCCAAUGUCCUGGAGGGUUUGCCUCAUCCAAAGUAGUUGUGCGCAACACUAUCCUGCAGCAAAGUACUAGGCCUCAGCGGUGGAUAGGGCAACGGAGGUUUGUUUCUUUGAACUCCAAGACACCAGGGACCUUCCUAGGAAUUGGCACGUCCCUAAUGUACUCUUCCUAUCAACCUUGCAUCCAGCAUAAUCGGAGUCUGAGUAUCCAAUCAAGUCAAAGGUAGACCCCUUUGGAUACCAGAUCCCGAAGCAAGGCGUAGCGGCUAAAUAUCUAAGUAUUCGCUUAACGGCCACAAGGUGACAUUCCCUUGGGUCGGAUUGAAAUCUAGCACACAUGCAUAGGCUUAGCAUAAUAUCUGGUCUACUAGCACAUAAAUAAAGCAAAGAACCUAUCAUAGACCGGUAUGCCUUUUGAUCAACGGACUUACCUCCUUUGUUGAGGUCGACAUGUCCGUCGAUUCCCAUGGGUGUCUUUGCGGGUUUAGCAUCCUUCAUCCCGAACCGCUUGAGAAAGUCUUGCGUGUACUUCAUUUGUGAGAUGAAGGUGCCAUCGUUGAGUUGCUUUACUUGGAACCCAAGAAAGUAGUUUAACUCGCCCAUCAUCGACAUCUCGAAUUUCUGUGUCAUCACCCUGCUAAACUCUUCACAAGACUUUUGGUUAGUAGAACCAAAUAUUAUGUCAUCGACAUAAAUUUGGCAUACAAAUAAAUCACCAUCACAAGUCUUAGUGAAAAGAGUUGGAUCAGCUUUCCGAACCUUGAAAGCAUUAGCAAUUAGAAAAUCUCUAAGGCAUUCAUACCAUGCUCUUGGGGCUUGCUUAAGUCCAUAGAGCGCCUUAGAGAGCUUACACACGUGGUCGGGGUACCGUUCAUCCUCAAAGCCAGGGGGUUGCUCCACAUACACCUCCUCCUUGAUUGGCCCGUUGAGGAAGGCGCUCUUUACAUCCAUUUGGAACAACCUGAAGGAAUGGUGAGCGGCAUAGGCUAACAAAAUGCGAAUAUACUCUAGCCUAGCCACAGGAGCAAAAGUCUCCUCAAAGUCCAAACCUGCGACUUGGGCAUACCCUUUUGCCACAAGUCGAGCCUUGUUCCUUGUCACCACUCCUGCUCGUCUUGCUUGUUGCGGAACACCCACUUGGUUCCCACAAUGUUUUGCUUUAGACGUGGCACCAGGGUCCAAACUUCAUUUCGCUUGAAGUUAUUGAGCUCUUCCUGCAUGGCUAACACCCAGUCCGGAUCUAGAAGGCCUAUUCUACCCUGAAAGGCUCAAUAGAAGAGACAAACGAGUAAUGCUCACAAAAAUUAACUAAUCUAGAGCGAGUAGUUACUCCCUUGCUUAUAUCACCCAAAAUCUGGUCGACGGGAUGAUUCCUUUGAAUCGUCGCUCGAACUAGAGUGGGAGGGGCUUGUGGUGCUUCUUCCUCCAUAACUUGAUCAUCUUGUGCUCCCCCUUGAUCACAUGCCUCUUCUUGAUGAACCUGUUCAUCGUAUUGAGUUGGAGGAUGCACCAUUGUUGAGGAAGAAGGUUGAUCUUGCUCUUUUUGUUCCUGUGGUCGCACAUCUCCAAUUGCCAUGGUGCGUAUUGCGGGCGUUGGAACGUCAUCUUCAUCUACAUCAUCAAGAUCAGCUUGCUCUCUUGGAGAGCCAUUAGUCUCAUCAAAUACAACGUCGCUAGAGACUUCAACCAAACCCGAUGAUUUGUUGAAGACCCUAUACGCCUUUGUAUUUGAGUCAUAUCCUAACAAAAACCCUUCUACAGCCUUGGGAGCAAAUUUGGAAUUCCUACCUUUCUUCACUAGAAUAUAACAUUUACUCCCAAAUACACAAAAGUAUGAUACGUUGGGUUUGUUACCGGUUAGAAGUUCGUACGACGUCUUCUUGAGGAGGCGAUGAAGGUAGACCCAGUUUAUGGCGUGGCAGGUUGUGUUCACAGCUUCCAACCAAAACCGCUCGGGAGUCUUGAAUUCACCAUGCAUCGUCCUCGCCAUGUAUAUAAGCGUCCUGUUCUUCCUGUCUACCACACUGUUUUGCUGUGGUGUGUAGGGAGCGGAGAACUCGUGCUUGAUUCCUUCCUCCUCAAGGUACUCCUCCACUUGCAGAUUCUUGAACUCGGACCCGUUGUCACUCCUUAUCUUUUUCACCUUGAGCUCAAAUUCGUUUUGAGCUCUCCUUAGGAAGCGCUUUAGGGUCCCUUGGGUUUCUAUUUUAUCCUGCAAAAAGAAUACCCAAGUGAAGCGGGAAAAAUCAUCAACAAUAACAAGACCAUACUUACUUCCCCCGAUGCUGAGGUAGGCGACGGGUCCGAAGAGGUCCAUGUGAAGUAGCUCCAAAGGUCUUGAUGUGGUCAUCACAUUCUUGCUAUGAUGAGAACUUCCCACCUGUUUACCUGCUUGACAAGCUGCACAAGGUCUAUCUUUUCGAAAGUUUCAUUGGUUAGACCUAACACAUGUUCUCCCUUUUGAAGUUUAUGAAGGUUCUUCAUCCCAACAUGUGCUAGACGGCGAUGCCACAGCCAGCCCAUGCUAGUCUUAGCGAUUAAGCAUGCAUCUAGACCGGCCUCCUCCUUUGAAAAAUCAACUAAAUAGAGUUUGUCGUCUAGUACACCCUUAAAAGCUAAUAAACCAUCACUCCUUCUAAAGACAGACACAUCUACAUUGGUAAAUAAGCAAUUGUAACCCAUAUUACAUAGUUGACUAACGGACAACAAGUUAUACCCGAGCGAUUCAACUAAGAACACAUUCGAUAUGGAAUGCUCAAAUGAAAUAGCUAUUUUUCCUAGUCCUUUAACCUUGCCUUGAUUCCCGUCUCCAAAGAUGAUCGAAUCUUGGGAAUCUUUGUUCUUGACAUAGGAGGUGAACAUCUUCUUCUCCCCCGUCAUGUGGUAUGUGCAUCCGCUGUCGAUAAUCCAGCUUGAGCCCCAGAUGCAUAAACUUGCAAGGCAAAUUAGGCUUGGGUUUUAGGUACCCAACUCUUGUUGGGUCCUACAAGGUUAGUAACAAUAGUCUUAGGGACCCAAAUGCAAGUUUUAUCUCCCUUGCAUUUUGCCCCCAAUUUCCUAGCAACCACUUUCUUAUUUUUACAUGAAAGUACAAAAUCAGUGUUGCAGGCAUGAAAAACAGUAGCAGAUUUAUUUUGCAUUUUCUUAGGCACAUGAUGAACAACAUUGUUUCUAGGCAUAUUUCUACUAUGCACAAAGGAAGAACUUGAAACAAUCAUGUCAUGUGAAUCAUAAGCAUUAUAACUCCUAUUAUGAUGAGCAUUCCUAGAAAAUUUUCUAUCAUAAAUACAUGCAUGAUUCUUUUGACUACUACUAGCCAUAGGAGCCUUCCCUUUUUCCUUGUUGAAAAUGGGAGCCCUUUGGCUUGUUAAGUUCUUGGCUUCCCUCUUAAAGCCAAGCCCAUCCUUAAUUGAGGGGUGUCUACCAACAGUGUAGGCAUCCCUAGCAAAUUUUAAUUUAUCAAAAUCACUUUUGCAAGUCUUAAGUUGAGCAUUAAGACUUGCUACUUCAUCAUUUAAUUUAGAAAUAGAAAUUAAAUGUUCAUCACAAUCAUCAGCAUUAAAAUCCUUGCAUCUAUUGCAAAUUACAACAUGCUCUACACAAGGACUGGAUUUAUUAACUACCUCUAGCUUAGCAUUUAAAUCAUCAUUCAAAAUCUUCAAGCUAGAAAUAGAUUCAUUGCAAAUAGAUAAUUCAGAAGAUAGUAAUUCAUUCCUUUUAAUCUCUAAGGCAAGAGACUUUUGAACACUAACAAAUUUGUCAUGUUACUCAUACAAGAUGUCCUCUUGCCUCUCUAGCAGUCUAUCUUUUUCAUUCAAUGACAAUCAACUCAUUAAUCUUUUCUACUUUAGCUCUAUCUAAUCCUUUGAACAAGCUAGUGUAAUCUACUUCAUCAUCACUAGAGCCCUCAUCACUAGAAGUAGAAUACUUAGGAGUUUCUUGAGUGUUUACCUUCUUCUCCUUUGCCAUUAGGCAAGUAUGGCGCUGGUUGUGGAAGAGCGACGAUUUGUUGAAGGCCGAGGCGACGAGUCCUUCAUCGUCGGAGUCGGACGAAGAACAAUUCGAGUCCCACUCUUUGCCAAGGUGUGCCUCGCCCUUCGCCUUCUUGUAAACCUUCUUGUUCUCUCUCUUCCCAUGUCUUUCGUCUCCCUGGUCAUUUUCAUUAUCGGGACAUUGAGCAAUAAAAUGACAUGUCUUACCGCACUUGAAGCAGGAACGCUUUCCCUUUGCCUUGUUCUUGUUUGAGUACUCCUUGCGUCCCUUCAAUGCGGUCUUGAAGCGCUUGAUAAUGAGGGCCAUUUCAUUCUCAUUUAGCCCGGCCGCCUCAACUUGCGCCACCUUUCUAGGUAGUGCCUCCCUGCUACUUGUUGCUUUGAGAGCAACCGUUUGAGGCUCGUAGAUGGGCAUUGGACCAUUCAAUGCCUCAUCAACGUAUCUUGCUUCCUUGAUCAUCAUACGCCCGCUUACGAACUUUCCGAGUAUUUCCUCGGGCAUCAUCUUGGUGUACCUAUGAUUUUUGCGGAUAGAAUUCACAAGAUGAGGAUCAAGUACAGUGAAGGACCUGAGCAUAAGUCAGACGAUGUCGUGGUCCAUUCAUCUCGUGCUUCCAUAGCUCCUGAUCUUGUUAACCAGUGUCUUGAGCCUGUUGUAUGUUUGGGUUGGCUCCUCCCCCCUGAUCAUUGCGAACCUUCCUAGUUCGCCUUCCACAAACUCCAUUUUGGUGAUCAUGGUGGCAUCAUUCCCCUCAUGAGAAAUCUUGAGGGUGUCCCAAAUUUGCUUGGCAUUAUCCAAGCCGCUCACCUUGUGGUACUCGUCCCUGCACAAGGAUGCUAGCAAAACAGUGGUAGCUUGUGCAUUUUUAUGGAUUUGCUCAUUAAUGAAAACGGGAUUGUCAGUACUAUCAAAAGGCAUUCCGUUUUCAACGAUCUCCCAAAUACUUAGAUGGAGAGAGAAUAGGUGACUACGCAUUGUGUGACUCCAAAAUGAGUAGUCUUCUCCACCAAAGUGCGGAAGUUUCCCAAGUGGAAUCGAAAGUAAAUGAGCAUUGGAGUUAGACGGAAUAUGAGAAUAGUCAAAAGAAAAGUUUGAGUUAACCGUUUUCUUUUUCUCGUCGUCGUCGUCUCUUUGGGAAGAGGAUGGAAGACUCGUCGCUAUCGUAGUAGACUAUCUUCUUGAUGCGCCUCUUCUUCUUCUCGUCCUUCUUGUUGUGACUUGAGCCAGAGUCAGUGGGCUUGUCGUCUCUUGGCUCGUUGAAGACGGAUUCCUUCUCCUUAUCGUUGACCACCAUCCCCUUUCCCUUAGGAUCCAUCUCUUCGGGCUAUUAGUCCCUUUCGUGAAGAGAACGACUCUGAUACCAAUUGAGAGCACCUAGAGGGGGGUGAAUAGGUGAUCGUGUAAAAACUUAAAACUUGUAGCCACAAAACUUGAUCAAGUGUUAGCACAAUAGAAUCAAGUGGCUAAGAACCGAGCUCUUGUGAAACACAAUAGUCACAAAGAAAACAAGCAUAAGAGACACGAUGAUUUAUCCCGUGGUUCGGCCAAGUAUAACACUUGCCUACUCCACGUUGUGGCAUCCCAAUGGAUGAGGGUUGCACUCAACCCCUUUCAAGUGAUCCAAUGAUCCACUUGAAUACCACAGUUGUUUUCUUUCUUAUACUCUUUCCCGUUUGCGAGGAAUCUCCACAACUUGGAGUCUCUCGCCCUUACAACAAAGAUCAAAGUGAAAGCACUUAGAGUAAGGGAGGGAAGCAGUACAAACAAAUCUGUAGCAAUACGCACACACACAGCCAAGACUUGAGCUCAAAUGAAUCGCAACAAGUUCACCACUAGAACAGAGCUCAAAUCACUAAGAAAGUCAAUCAAGUGCGUGAAGAUGGAGUGUGGAAGACUUAGAAUGCUCAAAGUAUGCUUUUUCACUCCUCCAUGCGCCUAGGGGCCCCUUUUAUAGCCCCAAGGCAGCUAGGAGCCGUUGGAGGCAUUCUUGGAAGGCAAUUCUUGCCUUCUGUCGGGUGGCGCACCGGACAGUCCGGUGCACCACCGGACAUUCACUGUUCAUUGUCCGGUGCGGAUCUCCUUCCUAAAAUGGCACAGCCGACCAUUGCAGAAUUGUAGCCAUUGGCGCACCGGACACUGUUCGGUGCACACCGGACAGUCCGGUGCUCCUAGCCGACCGUUGGCUGGGGCCACGCGUCGCGCGUGGAUUGCAUGGCCGACCGUUGCGUUGGCGGCCGUUGGCUCACCGGACAGUCCGGUGCACCACUGGACAGUCUGGUGAAUUAUAGCCGUACGCCACUGAAGAUUUCUCGAGAGUAGCCAGUUCGCCGGAGCUGACCUGGCGCACCGGACACUGUCCGGUGCACCACCAGACAGUCCGGUGCAUCCAGACUGAGCAGCAGUUGGCUAUACACAGCCAACUCUUUUCCAAUCCUUUUCUUUUCCUGAUUCUAGCACUUAGACAAAUAUAUUAGUACUUGUUGGGGACUCGUUCUCAAAUGCUAUGAAUUAAGAACAAGGCAACAUAAAAUGUUAAAUGUUAAUGCCCUUCGUCCAAUGAAGCAUUAUUCCUUUAAGGAUUAAUGAACUUCGAACGAAGGUUAAAGAUGAUACAAUUACGAAGGUUAAAUCUUCGUAAUCGAACUCUAAUAGAUUAUAUAAAGUAAUACGAAAUAUGAAACAUCAAAGACAAAUAAAUUAUAAAUGAACAAGAUUACUUUCAUAUUAUAUCAACUUAAUGUAUUCAAGUAUUAGAUACAAUUAUACCUUUGCCUUGGCAAAGAUUGAUUCCCGAAGGAUGCGAUUGCAAUUACAGGAAUGCGUGAACAGUAAAGGAAUAUUGUUCACUAUUUAUAGGCACGGGACACAGCCUGUGAGGAAUUACAAUUAUGCCCCUCAUGAAAGUUUACAACAACGACUCAAACAUUUAUGGACUAAAAGGUCAUUCUACUUUUAAGUCGGUUUGUAAUUCUGAAGCUUCAUGAAGAGGGACCUUCGGUCAUCACAUGCGGACAGCUUCAGCCGAAGCUGUUUCUUCCUGCAGGACCUUCGGCGACGAAGCAUGGUCCCAACAGUACAUAAAAACCAAUAUACUAAGUCUAGAACCAUAUCUUCUUGUCGAUUCGCACUUCAUCCAUCAUUUGACAUAUAGUUACUCACUCAAUAUGUGUUGGGCACUUAAUCACCAAAAUAUACUAGAAAUGGCCCAAGGGCACAUUUCCCUUUCACCCGUCAGUCCCUCAGAUCUAGUCUGAUAAAGCCACUUAACCAGGAUCAAAGACCACAAACUCACUCGAAGGUGAGUCACGGAAGAAAUACAAUAAAACAGGAAAAACCUCAAAUUAAAGUACUGGAGUAAUUACAUAAAUCGGAGUUUUUCAAGUAGAUGAUAUAAGUUCACAAAAUAAAAUGUAGUGGAUAAUCGAUAUCAUCGAUAGCGAGGAAUUGGGCAAGACCUAGCCCACUACUCCUCUUGCUCCUCUGCCGUCGGAGCAGCAUCCCACUCGACCGUCCAACCCGGUGGCAGGGUGGUAGGGCAAGUCACACAAUCAACCAUAUCCUGAAGCAUACCUGCAAAAAUUAUGCCACAAGCAAGGCUGAGUAUACUAAUACUCAGCUAGACCUACCCGGUGUGAGGAAACUACUCCUCUACCUCUAGACCAUGCAGCUGUUUGGCUGAGGGGUUUGGUUUGCCAAAAGCACUAGCUGAGUAUAAAAACAAAUUUUAGAUUUUCAAUUGUUAGCAUAAUUAUCUUAGCUAAGUUUGCUCCUUCUAAGCAUACAUGGUAGCAAGCAUUUAGUACAAUCAACAAGUUAUCUCAAGUAAACCUCAUUUCACUUCUUACUCAAUGUAGUACAAGGGGUCAAGCAGUCUCAUUAGCUACAAGAAGUAGACGAUUCGAAUCAAGUUUUAUCCUUGCAAGGUAAACCUAAACACACGACAUGUCAGGGCACUCCGUCCCCACACACGUCAACCGUCCCCAUCGAUUCCCCGUUCGCGGCCAGGCCUCACCGCCUUGGUAUACAAUGCUCCACUGACCCCGGCUGCCGCUGUGCAGUGACCGCACUUGUACCCACCAUAGCUAGCAUGGGAGACCCAGUCUCAGGUCGUGUGAGGGGUAAAGUCCAUGCCCGGCUUCACUCAGGUACUAGGUUUAUCGGUUACCAUAUUUCCCGACAUGUGCUUAGUACAUUCAGACGCUUGACUCAGGUAUCCACACAUUAAUCCUUAAUUCCUUUUUCCCUUCUCAUGGACAAGGCAUCCUCCAUGGAUCCAAGUCCAUAGACCAGCAUAGAUCACGUUAUCAAGAUGAAUACAAUCAAUUCCUGACCUCGCGCGAGUGCUAGAAAAAUCACUCGACUUCUACCGAGAUCCUGAUUAGCAAAACAGCUACUCGACCUAGCAUACUAGUAUCCAUCUCAAAAAGGAAUCCUAAGUUCAUGCAACUAGAGGUUUCAAGCAACUCCUACACUUAAGUGCACAUUACAAUCCUACAAACAUUAAGUGUAGUAAAGUAGCAUAUAUAGAUACAAUUAUGCGUAAAACCAGGGCUUGCAUUCAAUAGCUGGGGCUGCGGGGAGAUCCUCGAUGGCAGUCUCGGGAGCCUGCUCCCGGUCUUCCUCGUGGACAGCUCCUUGCUCAGGGAUAAACACGUACUCUCCGUCAGCGAGAUUGCAAUCUAAUGAAUGCAAUGAGUAAGAUAUUUGCAUGGCAUGAUUUGCAAUUUAGCAAUUAAAAUUGAUGGGGGAUGAUCAAUUUAAUAAGGUAGGGCUUAUUCUUACUACUGAAGAUUUUUGGGGUACACUUAGCAAUAGGGUCAGGCUUAGUUAACUAAUUGGUAAGUCCAAUUUGGUGUUCCACUGAUUUCCUUUUAAUGUCUUAGUGAGAGCUUAUUAAGAUUUCUAGCUGAACUUAUUGGAGUGAGAUUUAAUUUUCCUCUCUUCCUUUCUAAUUCUUUUAUGCUUUUAGGGUGGGUUUGAACUACAACAUAACUUAAUAAAUUUCCAAAACUUUUGCAAAAAUUACAGUGGCUUCUUACUGUGUGUAGUUCUCUGUCUCAAAACUUGGGGCUUAAACAGUGAGAGGUUCUCUCUGUAUAAAAUUAUCAAAUAUUAGGGCAGAGGGGGUGUUUUGAACUGCAACUCCUUUUUAACAUUGCGUUAUUUUCUAAGACAUAUUUUUGCUGGCAUGUAGAUGUUAUAACAUGACUUUGUACAAAUUUCUAGUCACUAAUAUUUAUUAGUCAAUUUGCUAUGAUUUUGUAAAGUUUCUAGUCAAAUGGGUGCUUUCUACUACCACUAUACUUGAAAAAUAUCAAACAAUAGAUUUCUAAUUUUUCCUAUCUUCUUCUUUGUGCAAGAGCAAUCAUUCUGAAAAUUGGUAGCUUUUUGCUUAAGGGAAAGGUGGUAGGAAUUAUUUGGAUUAAAUGGCUUUUUUCAUGAAAUAUUGGCAAUGGGUAUUAUUUUGCAGCUUUCAAUUGGGUUUUCAUUUUUCUAUGGUGGCCUACUUCAUUACCUAUCUGGUAAAAAUUUAUUUGCCCAUUAUUGCACUCUUUUAGGUUUGCUUAUGAUUUAUUUGAAAUGUGGCUCAAUAUCAAGUUCUAUUUGUUUACCCAACUUAAAAUGAUGGGUUGGGGUGUUUAUCAUUUUUGUAGUGGUAUAUUAGUGGUUACAAGUCCACUGGAUUUUUAUUAACAAUUUUGAAACUGUUUUCAUAAAUCUAAUAAUUAUUUUUCUGGUUUGAUUAGUGCUUAAUAAAACAUUUCUCCCAGAAUUUAUUCUGAACUAGGGGUCCCUUUAUUUUUCCUAGAUUCUCUGUUACUUAAGUAGACUAGGAAAAAUAUUUGUAUUCACUAUUCAUCAUUUUAUAAUGCCUUUUCUGAUUUUCCUAAGUUUUGGGCAAAAUGGCUUUUAAUAGAUAAUCCUACUCAAAUUUUCAAUACUGAGGUGCUCACUAUUUUUAAACAGUGUCUAAAUGGGGUUUGAACUUCUACAAAUUUUCUUAAGUUCAGCACAGAAGCAUAACUAAUUUUCUAUAAUUUAAAAAGAUUUGGUCAGUUUCCUUAAUUAAUUUCAAAUUCUAAAUUUGGAAACAUAAAGCAUAGGGUUCAAUAUUUUUAAUUGAUAGUCCAUAAUAUUUUGAAUCCAGCAAAAUUGGUUUGGUUAAAUUUAGUUGAAUAUAACUCAAGAUAUAAAUUCUCUAAGUUCUCUGCUGAAUUUAAAAAGGUUAAAUAGAAAUGGAUAAAGGAAAAAUGGUUUUGCACUGGGGUCUCUGGCGAAAGAUUUUAGGUGAAUUAUAGACAGGUCCUCGGCGCACUAUUCACAUGUGUCUACGGCUCUGUAGAAAACCCCUAGGGUUCUGCAAAAUCAAACCCACAGUCCUUUCCUAAUGGAAUAGUGAUCGCGGAGGAAGAAAGGGGCGGAGGGGCUUACCGGCGGCGAGACUACUCCUGUGAGGUGGUCGAGGAGGUAGGGGAGGUCCUGAGGGUCACGACGAUGUGUGGGUCGCCGUCGGGGAUGGUCGGAGUCGGCCAGUCCACGUGCGCAGGCGGGGGACCUCGUCGGCUGUGAGGAGUCCGGCCUAACCAGGGCACGAUAGGCCAAUUAAAUGGGUCAGGGAGCUUCACCAGAGAUCAAGGAAGAUGUGUGCGCAAGGAAUCAGAGAAAGGCUCACCGCAUUGCUCAGUCCACGCGCAGUCGCGGGCGACGAAAGUCCGGUGAAGAUGAUGUCGGGUCUCCAGUGAGGUUCUGUCGGGUCCGAGAGCUUGGAAAGCUCCACGGGCCACUGCAAAGCUAACUGAAGGGCAGGCGCAACUUGGACGUGGCUGGAGUGAGCUGGCCGCGGUGGCCGAGGCUCGGGCGGUGAUGGCAGGCGGAGGAAAGCUCGCCGGAGCUAAGGAGGGGUGUCUGGCUAGCGAGGGUGAGCACAGAGUGAGGUGAGGCGCUCCCGGGGGAGGUUUUAAAGGCGCGGGCGAGCGCGGCCGAGGGGAGGCUCUGACAAGCGCUCGGGGCAUGCGCGGGCGAGCGCCAAUGCGCGUUCUGGCGUCUAGCACAGCGUCGAGCACGAGGCAGCGUAGAGAGAGGUCGUGUUCAAGCACGGAUUGGCCCAAAUCUUUGAGAUUAUGGCCAUGAUCCCAUUGAGAGAUCUCUUCCCCUGACAUUCCUUUGUCGUUUGUGUGUGGAGGCUUGCAAGUUUCGCUGACUAGAUCAAGAGAUAGAGAGGGGAGAAGUCGGGUUUGUCUUACGGCAGAGCACAGAGAGAAGAUCCCAGGUUUGACGUGUCCAGAGCACGCGUCCCGAUGCCAUCUCCUGGUAUGAGGUAGAGGGGUUAGUUAGGCACCUUUUUGUCAAUGGGAGCAUUAGUAUUAGAGUUAAGGAUCAAGGUGAACGUGCUCGGUUUUGGUUCAAAGGCUGAAAAUUCAGAAAUCUGAAUUUCAGAUUUCCCCAUUGAGCCUCCACUUGAAUGGCUUGUUUGGAGUUUUUAACAACUAUAUUUGGCCAACCUUUCAUAACCUUUAUUGUAGCUUAUUUAGUGUAUUUCAAUUCUUAUAAUUGGCCUAAGCCAUGAUUUCAAGUUUUUCGUGGUCUUUCAUCCCUUUUCUUCUUUUCUACUUAAUUAGCUUAAUUAGGGUUGGUAUUAGGGUUUCAACAUUUUUUUCCUCUUUUUGAAAACCUCAUUUGUUUUAGACAUGAUUCUUUACAUAUAAACUUAGUGGAUCUUUCAUUCUUACAUUGAUUUGGUGCUUCAUGCUGUGACACCCCAGGUGUCUAUUUCACGUUAUGUCGGGAGAUUCAUCCUAAUCUUGGAUGCUCAGUGAAAAUUUCUAUCUCUUUAUCACAUUUAUCUCCAUUUAUCAAGUUACUCAUGAAAGUUUCACCAAGUUUGGAAUUAUUCGAUCUCAAGAACAGCCAAAUUUGGAGCCUGUUAAAACUUUUUGUUUCUUGAAGCAAACGCAAAUUUGAAAGUCAAUCUCAUCUCACAACUCCCGUCCAGACUCAUUUAUUCGGACUCUCGAUAGUUGUUAUGUUAUCCAAUCGGUGUCCGAAUCCGCUUUCUCGAUAUUGGGUCUAUGUCCAAAUACGUAGUCUGAAUCUGCAUUCUCCAGCGGAAUCUCUGUUGAGCCAAUCUCUAAUUAAUUAUUAUGAAAAUCAACUUCUUAUCUCUAUAUCAUCAUUCAUCUCUAUCUAUCAAGUGUAUUCUAAAGAUUUCUCAAAGUUUGAACCAAAUGCUCACAUCAAAACAUAAAUCAUAUACUUUCUUGAAACUUCUUGUUUGAACAUGUGCAAAUUUUGAAAUUCAACCAAGCCUUGUAAUCUUGCUCAAACAACUCUAUAUUAACUCUACAACAAAAGUUAUUAAGGGUUCAUGUAGAAAAAAUGCCAAGAAAAUAUCGAGAAAAUACCCCGAUUGCCUUAAAAAUAUAAUUUGAAGCCUUAUAAUGAUGCUACCUUGACAAAAGUGAAACUUUAAUUUAUAUUCAAGAUAUGAGGUUUGACCUUUAAUAAAAGUUGUAGAACCUGUGUUAUACAACAAAUAUUAUAUUUAAACCAAGCCUUGAUUCAACCUCUAAGUAUCUCAAACAAUGUCAUCAAUACAGAAUAAAAAUCUGAUUUCUGGAUUCGAAUUCUUCUAAGUCUGAAAUCAGUGUCGUUCGGGUCGACGUCUCGCGUUCCCUAAAAUUUGUUAAACAACUUGAGUUUCACCAAAUAUAAAAGUUGUUAGUAACUAAUGGAGGCACAUCAUAUCGAAAGAUGGCAUUCAUCCGACACAUUUUGACAAGGUUUGACAUCCAUUCUUUAGGUGAAAUUAACCCUCUGACAGUAGUAACUUUGGACUUAAUUAUCUCUUAAUCUAGUUAGCAAAUGGCUGAGAACCCUUAAUCAAACAUGUAGAGCAUUGCGCGGGAAGAAACUUUGCUACAGUGACCAAGAUCCUAAUCCAAACAGAAAAUGCCAAAAAGUGCCGCCCAAAGUCGCUACUGUAGCAUCUACCACGUGUUCGACGAAUUGCUGCAAUGGAGAGACGUGGCAGCCAUGCUCUGGAGCUUCUCCUCCAUAAAUGGCAGCAGUCUGCUUUCUCCCUUCUCCCCCACGCCACUCCUCCCUCAAAGCACACGAGUCUUCUCCCAACCAUGAGACCUCCUCUCUACCCCGCGCCCAGGAACGCACCAGCCUUCUUCCCCACGUCGAGCUCAUCUUCCAUGGCCACUCCUAGAUCUCCUUCUCGACUUCUUUAUCGUCGUGCUCCCCUCUGCUCGCGCCCAGCCGACCGAGAGUGGCUGCCUAGGGCCGGCCGAGCCCCUCCCCGACGUGCGGUGGCCCUUGGCUGAGCGCCAUAUGCCAUGGCCGAACCCCCCCCUCCAUGCCAUGUUUCUAUGCGUGUGUGAGAUGGAGCGUGAGAUGGAGGAAGAAGAUGACUCCCUGAGCCAAUGACAAGUGGUCCCAGGGACGGAUGUGAGUGUGCUGGAAAUUUCAGAUUUAUGUAUUGUGUUCAAAAAAUUAUAUCUCAAGUUUCAGAGCUCCAAAAAUCACGAAAUUUAUUUUGUUGGCUUCCUUAUGAAAUUCUCUAACUAUUGAAUCUAUAGGUUGGCAUGUUUUAGUGGAAAAGUUUUUCUGUAGAAAUUCGUAAUUAAAAACUGGUUUAGAGAAUAAACAAACUUGCUUCUCUCCAUAAUUUUAUUUAUGAAAAUCCAAAAAUGAUGAAACCUGUUUUGUUAGUUAGAUGUUGUCAUACUCCAUCAAGGAAAAAUACAAAUCUUAUAUGUUGUUCACAGUUUUCUUGGUGUGUUAAUUAAAACAAGUUAAAUAGAGAAAAGAAGAUUGAUUUGCUUGUUAUUUUUGGAUCUGUAGCUCCAGUGCUCCAAAUGGGUUGACAUUUUUACAGUAGACUCUUGGUGUGAUGCUUGGUGACGGGUAAACAUUUCAUGAAUUGUUGUGCAUGUAUGAUUAAGUUAGUGAUUUAACUUGUUUAAUGCACCUUAAGUAGUUUUAAAUGAUUUAUAAAACAUAUAUGGAUGUAAAAAUGGAAAAUGAUGUUCCACUGCCCUUGCAUGAUAUUAUAGUAGCCUAAGGAAACUUAAUAUGGUCAUGCAUCCACAGAAAAUAAUUAAUUUUAGAUUUAACUUGCUCUCACAUGCUUUAUUGCAUUAACAAAUUGUUAUUUUUGUAGUAAAUAAAAUAUAAAACCUGGGUAUGUGAAAUUUAUACCUUAGUCAUAAAUUGUUAUUACCUAUGCCUCAUAAAAAUGUCAGCCCCAAAUUAGAUAGUUUCAUAUGGUGCUAAAAUAACACCUAUUUUAUAAUUGCGAGACUUAGUGAAAAAUUAGGAGUAAAUAAAAUCAUGCAUGUUCAAGGAAUGCUUGAGUUAUACCUUAAAACUAAUUAGAUAUUUAAUGGUUAUGUCAUGGUGUUCUAAAGAUAAAUAUUGCUUCAUCAUGAUUUUGUGUGAUGUCGGACAUGUGUGCCGAAGUGUUUUAUUUUGGUGAAUGUGUUUGUUAAUUGUGUGGUAAUUCUAGCGCACAAAAUAACUUGGAUAAAAAAUUAGUAAGUCUGCUUAUUGGUCCUAAUUUGAUUGUUUCAACUCCAAAAAAAUGGUAAAGUGUUAAAAUGGUUGAAGUCUCUAGAACGCGGCAAUUUUUGAAGUGAAUAGGAGCUGAAUUUUAAUGGUUGCUGUUUUAGGCUGCACGUACUGUUUUAGUUGUGCUGUAUGUUUGAUGAACUAAAUUAUAUUUUCUGUGGAUAUGUGCUAUAGAAAAGUGGUAGAUAACUUUAUUAUCUUGAUGGUGUUAAAAUUUGACAGCCAUAGGUCUAACAGUUUAGGAAUUAUGCUUUUUACAAAUUCAGUAACUGAAUCUGUCCAAAUUCUGUACAGAUUUCAGAAACUGUAUUGUUUGUUCAAUUUAAUGUUGCAAUCUGUUCAUAGUCGUUAUAAGAAAGUUGUAGCUGCUUUUCUGAUCUUCCUUGUGUUAAAAUUUCAUAACCACAAGCCUGAUAGUUUAAGAGUUAUGAAUUUUACAAACUGCUUGCUGUGUUCUGUCCACCGUCAGAACAGAUUUCGAAAACUGUGCUGUUUGAUUUAGUUAAACAUUGAAUCACUUCUUAGUGAUUAUAAAAGUUAUGUAGUACUUUUCCCAAGCUUUCCAAAAAGUCUUGGAUCACUAUUUUUGGUGGUCUGAAGAUUAAGUUACAUGUGUUUGAAGUGUGAAGACUGAAUCUGUCCAGUUUUGGACAGCACAGCCUUCAUAGUAUAUUUUACCAUGGAUACAUGCUAAACCAGCCAGGGAUGUUUAUAAAUAAUUUGUAGAACAUUUAAUUAGCUUUCCAGAAAGUCUAGGGUCACUUUGUUUGUAUGUCUGAAUCUUUUGUUGUGAAUUUUUGAAGUUGCAAGCCUGAAUCUGUCCAAAUCUGGACAGAGCUGCUGUGAUUGCACUUUUUGAGCUUGCUAAGUGUUUAAUCAUGCUGUGAUGAAAAUACCAAAAUUGUAGAGCACUUUCUAAGCUUUCCAGAAAGUCCUAGUUUGCUAGUUUUGGAUUAAUAUUUGAAAAGUUAUGAUUAAAACAAGUGACUGCUGUAUUGCUGUCCUAAAAAUCUGCACGUGCUCAAAUGAAUAUUUAGUUCACCAUUUUGACUAAAAAUGCUUAGUUAGCACUUAACGGACAUAGACUUGUGAUGGCUAAACUUAGGUUAACAUGUGUUUCAUGAUUAAUGUGCUUGCUUGCUGUAGUUGAUUGUGAUAGAGGAGUCCAUCGAUAUUGAUGCAUCGGUCCUCUAUUAAACUUGUGUUUGUGAUGCUUUUGUGUGAUCAAUAGAACUAAUGAAAAGCCGUAGCAACUAAAUAAAUGCUUGUACGAGUGAUAUCGUGUUGCAUUGGUUAAUUGUAGGUAGUGAUCGUUGUCUUUCCAGUGGUAGUGUUUACGUGUGCCCAAUGACACAUAAAUAACUAGUGUUUGCGUAUAGUUGUUGCAGUGUCUUACUAAUUAAUGUUUAGUUCGCCACUGUGUCUUGGUAUAUCUUGUACUAUUUUUGUGCUACUUUCAUUAUAUUCAUACAUAUGCAUCUUGCACCUCAUAUAGGACCGAGAGAUGAUGAUCGAGCCAGUGAUGUGGUGCCAACCACAAGAUGCCGUGGUGGACGACCUGAAGAAUGGACUUAACUAGUGGAUGCUCGCCAAGCGAGUACCCCCCAACAAAAACUACCUAAGUGUUAAAUUAAAGGCAAGCUCCGGUUUUAUGCAUAACCGUUUAUAUAUGCUAUUUUACUACACUUAAUGUUUGUAGGUUUGUACUGUGCACUUAAGUGUAGGAGUUGACUGAAACCCUAGUUGCAUGAACUCAGGAUUCCUUUUUGAGAUGGAUACUAGCAUGCUAGGUCGAGUAGCUGCUUUAUUAAUUAGGGAUCUCGGUAGAAGUCGAGUGAUUUUUCUAGCACUCGCGCGAGGUCAGGACAUUGAUUGUACCCACUUUCAUAUCAUACUGAUGUUGGUCUGUGGACACGGAUCCAUGGGGAUGCGUGGUCUACGAGAUGAAAUUGGAAUAAGGAUUAACGUGCGGAUACCUGUGUCAAGCGUUUGAACGUACUAAACACAUACCAAGAAAUAUGCUAAAUCGGUAAGCCUAGUACCUGAUUGAACCUGCCCGCAGACAUAUCCCCUCACGCGACCUGAGACGUGGUCUCCCAUUCCGGUUAUGGUGGGUACAAGUGCGGUCACUGCACGACGGCAGUCGGGGUCAGUGAGGCAUUGUACGCCAAGGCGGUGAGCCCUGAUCUGUUGCCAGGGAAUCGAUGGGGACGGUUGAUGUGUGUGGGGACGGAGUGCCCCUACAUGUCGUGUGUUUAGGUUUACCUUGCAAGGAUAAAAACUCGAUUCGAAUCGUCUGCUUCUCGCAGCUAAUGAGACUGCUUGAUCCAUUGUACUGCAUUGAGUAAUAAGUGGAAAUGAGUGACUGGCAAAAGAUGUUGACUGGUAAAAAUGUUUGAUACCAUGUAUGAUUAGCUAGGUACACAUCUAGUCUAAAGGAUUCUACUAAAACUUGAAAAGCUAAAACUUGUUUUUAGACUCAGCUAGUGCUUUUGGCAAACCAAACCCCUCAGCCAAACAGCUGCAUGUCUAGAGGUAGAGGAGUAGACUCCUCACACCGGGUAAGUCUAGCUGAGUAUUAGUAUACUCAGCCUUGCUUGUGUCAUAAUUUUUGCAGGUACCUCCUUAGGUUGAUUGGUUGAUGGUGUGACUUGGCCUUCAUCCCUGCCACCGGGAUAGACGGUCGAGUGGGUUAUUGCUUCCGCAGGAGAGGACCAGGAGGAGUAGCGUGGCCAGGCUUCGCCAUGUUACUCGGGUUUUCUCCGUUAGUCAUAUCCGCUGCAUUAAAAUUUAUGGUUAUUAUUUCUGAAACUCCGAUAAUGUAAUCACUAAUGAUACUUAUUAAAUUUGUGGUAUUAUGUUUUAUUGUAUUUCUCUGUGCCUCACCUUCGAGUGUGCUAGUGGUAUUCGAUCUUGGAUAAGUGGCUUUAUCGGACUAGAUCCGAGGGACUGACGGGUUAUUCCUGUUUAAGUGUGUUGUCGUUCUUAAGGGUGCGACUUGGGCACUUAAGCUGGAAUAAUUCGGGCGGUUCCGCCACACAUGCUCAAUUUUGCUUACAUGAAAUGAUGGUUCUUGAGUUAGCACUGAGAAAAACCCUAAGUCACACUGGGGUGUCACACUUGUCGAUUUCAUAUUAUCCUUAGAAUUGUUUAUCUUGAUUAUCACAGUCUGAUUAUUACAAUUCAUAGAAAUAGCCGGCACAGGUUUUUCAACCACCGGUAAAUCCAAAAGUUCACGAAGCCACUCAACCUCAACUGAAGCGGUAUCUAAUGCUGUGAGUUCUGCUUCCAUAGUCUACCUCAUUAAGAUUGUCUGCUUGCCAGACUUCCAUGAAACAACGCCACCUCCAUGUGAAAACACAUAUCCACUUGUGUCAUAUAUCUCAUUAGCAUCAGAUAUCCAAUUUGCAUCACAAUAACCCUCCAGUACUAUUGGGUACCUGAUAUAAUGGAUGCAUAAACUCAUAGUACCUUUUAGAUAGCGCAAAACUCUCUCAAGAGCAUGCCAGUGAUAAUCUCUCGGAUUUGAAACAAACCGAUUAAGUUUGCUCACAGCAAACGAGAUGUCAGGCCUCGUAGCGCUAGCUAAGUACAUGAGUGAACCAAUUAUUUGGGGAUAUCUCAAUUGAUUCCUAGAUAUCCUUCGAAUUUUCUUCAAAAGCUUACUAGGAUCAUAAGGUGUUGGAGCAGGUUCAGAUUUGCUAUAACCAAAGCGACUUAAAACCUUUUCCACAUAAUGAGAUUGCACAAGUGUGAUCCCAACAUUGCCUUCUCUCAGUAGCUUAAUGUUAAGAAUAACAUCAUCUUCUCCCAAAUCGUUCAUCUUUUGUCUCUUUAAUCACAUUAAGGCUCGUCCCCAAGAUUAGAAUGUCAUCAACAUACAUGCAUAAAAUUACUCCCUCACCCCCACCACAAUGAUAAUAUACACAUUUGUCUGCUUCGUUCACAACAAAGCCGAUAGAUGUCAAAGUUCUAUUGAACUUUUCAUGCCAUUGCUUAGGUGCUUGUUUUAGGCCAUAUAAAGAUUUCAAUAGCUUACACACCAUGCCUUCUUGACCGUUUGCUACAAACCUAGCUGGCCACUCCAUGUAGAUUUCCUCAUCUAGCUCUCCAUUUAGGAAUGUUGUCUUAACAUCCAUUUGAUGGAUGACAAGACCAUAGGAGACAGCCAGAGAUUGUAGCACAUAGAUUGUGGUCAAUCGAGCCACAGGUGAAUAAGUAUCAAAGAAAUCCUCACAUUCCUUCUGUGAAUAGCCUUUAAUUACAAGCCUCGCCUUAUACCUUUCAAUAGUACCAUCAGGCCUAAGCUAUUUCUUGAACACCCAUUUACUCCCAAUGGGCUUAGGCUGGCUCCAGCAAGUAUCUCUAAAUGGUCCUCUACCCUAAAUAUAGAGGAUCAAACGAUACUCUACACUCUCCAGCAACGUUCUCUAAACGGUUCUCUAAAUUUAGAGGACGCUCCUGGAUUCUCUAUAUAUAGAGUUUCUCUAAACGGUCAUCUAUCCAUUUGAAUACUUUAAAUAACCGUUUAGAAAAACUAAAAUAUGUACAAUACAUUUGAGAGUAUGACUUAUACGUAUGUAUAAAAAAUAAAAAUAAAAAAUGUCUCAAAUAUAUUUAUUUGAGUAUAGAGAACGAGAUUUAGAGGACGUUGUUGGAGAGGAAUGAGAUAUAGAGGAUGAAAUCUUUUAGAGGAGACUGUAAAGGAUGGAUAUAGAGGAUGAAUAUAGAGGACAUUGCUGGAGACAGCCUUACACCCAUAAGGACGCUCAACGACCUCCCAAGUUGCAUUAGACAUAAUAGAAUCCAUCUCACUCUUUAUUGCUUCCUUCCAAAAGUCAGCAUCAAGAGAGGAAUAUGCCUCUUCAAUGGUACUUGGUGUGUCAUCCACAAGAUAUACAAAGUGAUCAUCACCAAAGGACUUUGCAAUCCUUGAUCUCUUACUCUUUCGAGUUGAUACAUUGUCAUCUUCCACAGGAUUAUGUAUAUGUGAUUCCUCAGUGUGUUCUACCAGAAUAAAAUGCUCAUGGGGUAUUGAUAGUUCAUCAUUAGACGUAUCAUGUGUAGCUUUCAUUGGAAAUUCAUCCUAAAAACAUAGCAUCUCUAGACUCCAUAAUAGUACUAACCAACAUGUCAGGUACUCUAGAGUUUAUAAUUAAGAACCUAUAUCCAAUGCUGUGGAAAACAUACCCAAGGAAAACACAAUCAACAAUUUUCAGUCCUAAUUGCACUUCUUGUUAAUUAGCACAUUCACUUUAUCCAAACAACCCCAGCUGCGCAAAUAGGAGAUAUUAAUUUCCUCUUUUCCCAUUCCUCGAAUGGUGUGAUUUCUUUGUUUUUUGUGGGAACUUUAUUCAGGACAUGACACACUGUCAAGAUCGCCUCACCCCACCAUUCCUUAGAUAGUCCCACAGUCUCUAACAUGGCGUUAACAAAAUCAGUUAGAGUACGGUUCUUUCUUUCAGCAACCCUAUUGGAUUGUGGUGAGUGUGGCGGUGUCCUCUCAUGAACAAUACCAUGUUCCACACAAAAAUCAGAAAAAUCACCUGAAAAAUAUUCUCCACCACGAUCAGACCUUAACCGUUUAAUUUUCCUCUCGAGUUGAUUUUGAACUUCAACUUUGUAGGUCUUAAAAUAAUGCAAAGCUUCGUCUUUUGCUUUUAAGAGAUACGCAUAACAAAAUCUAGUAGAAUCAUCGAUAAAAGUAAUAAAAUAUCGCUUGCCACCUUGGUCAAUAUUCUGUUCGUCUCACAUAAAUCAGAAUGUAUUAAGUCUAGUGGUGCUAGAUUCCUCACCUCCGCAGCCAUAUGAUGCUUGCGAGGUUGCUUAGAUUGCACGCACACCUGGCACUUAGAACCUUUCACUAAAUCAAAUUUCGAGAUUAAAUUUAAAUUUGCUAACUGCAGAACACAACCAAAAUUGAUGUGACAAAGUCGAGAAUGCCAAAUAUAUGACUCAUUUGAAAACACAUUGUUCACAGACUUAUUACACAUAUCAUGCAAAGAUAAGCGGAACAAGCCUCCAUUGUCAUAGCCUUUUCCAAUAAAUGUCUCAUACUUUGACAGUAUACAUUUAUUAGGUUCAAACACAAGUUUAUAGCCAUCUCGACAUAAUAGUGAGCCACUAACAAGAUUCUUUUUGAUGGAGGGAACAUGCUGCAUGUUCUUCAGUAGCACCAUCUUUUUUUAAGUAAACUUUAGAAUGACUGUACCAACACCAAGAACACGUGCAUGUGAUCCGUUCCCCAUCAGUAAGGCUCUAGCCCCUUUGCACUGAUAAGAAGAAAACAAAGAAAUAUCAGCACAAACAUGAAUGUUAGCACCAGUGUCAGCCCACCACUCAGGGGAUUGACACACUGAAGAACAGUAGGUAAAAGAUUACCAUACCCCGAUGUUCCUUCUGCGGUCUCGCUAACAACCAUGUUUGUUGUUUUCUUCUCUUGAGCUGGUUUUUUUCUCUUGUUUAAAUUUGCGGUCUGGACAAGCACUUGCCUAGUGAUCAGUACUCACGCAAACAAAGCAACCAGCUCCUUUGUUCUUCUUUUUGAACAAGGCUGCCUGCUUGUGCUUCGUGGCAUUCUCCUGCUUGUUCUUCUUUUUAUUAUUAUGUGAUGCAUUGGAGUUCUUCUUUUGUACCAUAUUGGCAUUAGAAGUAUCAACUUCUUUUCCACGAGUGUCUUUUGCUCUCGCCCUCUCCUCAACAUCAAGAGAACUAAUAAGCUCAGCCACACUAAACUCUUGUCUCUUAUGUUUUAGAGUGGUAACAAAAUCCGUCCAAGAAGGUGGCAGCUUAGCGAUAAUACCGCCAGCCACGAACUUGUCAGGCAAGACACAUGGGAACUGUUCGAGUUCCUUAGCCAGUGCCUGUAUUUCAUGAGCCUGUUCAACUAUAGGACAAUUUUCCACCAUCUUGUAGUCAAACAACUACACCAUGAUGUACAGCUCACUACCAGCAUCAGAAGCACCGAACUUCUCAUCUAAUGCAUCCCAUAACUCUUUUGCAGAUGUGCACGUUAGAUAAGAAUCAACAUACUUGUAGGCAAGAGCGCCAAUCACGGCGCCUCGAAACAGGUUAUCGGCAACAUCAAACAUUCUCUCCUCUUCAGGAGUGAACUGUUCGUGUUUCCCCUGUGUGGCGUGAUAGCAAUUCAUUGCAGUCAACCAUAGUAUCAUGUUACUACGCCACCUCUUAUAAAAUGUCCCAUCAAAAGGUUCACUUGGUUUUAACGCAGCAGCAAAACCACUAACAGAAAAAUGCCUAAUAUCAGGUUUUUGGAUUGUUAGAAAAAUAGGAAUUUUCAGUUUUAAUUUAAUCCAGAAAAUCACAGUGAUGUAUGUGACGACAUGCAUGUGCAUAUGUGUAUCACUACUCAAGCAGUAAACAAUAGUAAAAUAUGCACAAAUACCAAGAACAGAGUGUACCCUACGGAGGGACCAAUGCUCAAGGCAUUAGUGUCUCCAUUCACAUGAGACAUCUCGUGUGUAUGUUCGAUGUAGUCGUACACAUUCGAUGCAGGCAGAUGUAUGCAGUGCAGUCCCUCGAACGGCGCCGGCGACAAGGAACUUGAUCAGCGUUGGUCGGACGGACGGAGCGAGUAGUCGUGAGUAUGCUCCCUAAAAACCUAAUCGCUCGCACUCCCGUGCAAGUGUAGUUCUGUGCACGACGAUUUCGGAGGCCUGCUCUCCCACACUCUUUGUGCUCGCAGAAGGUGGGGACGGGAAUGGCUGUGUGCAACGCGUCUGAGACUGUGUUUGUACGUGUUGUAACUAGAAGCAGCCUCACCUCCUCCGUAUAUGUACACACGCAGAGGAAGGUGAACGGGCAGUAACGAUCGCCAUCAGAGCUACCGUUACAGUCAGCCAGAAACUAACGCCAUCAGUGACGUCCAUUACUAGCUGACAGCCAUCACAGCUCGUCCAUUACUAGCCAUAACACAGGAAACGGCUAGUAACGAACGACAAUAAUAGACGGUCAUCACUCCAAGCAAAAUGCGCAACUGUUAGGAAGGAAUAUUUGGACCAAGGUCCGAUCUACCACGGCCAUGGCCUUAGCCUCGGCCACGGCCCGACCCGACCAACGGCGCGCGCACGUGUGGCAAUCCUUCAUCUGUUUCUCAACUUCUCAAUAGAUGCACCAAUGGUCCACCUAUUUAAGUUGAUUGAUUUGUCCCUUGAACUUCCAGUAUGGUACUAAAGUACUAGUACACCGUAGCAUUAAAGUGGGCAUUUAGCAUUGACUAUUAUUGAAUAUUAAUUUGGGCCAAGCCCACAUUAAAUAAACAAUAUUGUUAGAGAAAUAAGCAUUUUCAGUUUUAAUUUAAUCCAGAAAACCAUAGUGAUGUAUGUGAUGGCAUGUAUGUGCAUAUGUGUAUCACUACUCACAUAAGCAGUAAACAACACUAAGAUAUGCACAAAUACUAAGAACAGAGUGUACCCCGCGGAGGGACCGAUGCUUAAGGCAACAGUGGCUCCUUUCGCACGAGACAUCUUGUGUGUAUGUUCGAUGUAGUCGUACAUAGUCGAUGCAUGUAGAUGUUCGCAGUGCAGUCCCAAGAACGGCGCCGACAAUGAAGAACUGGAUCAGUGUUGGUCGAGCGGACGGAGCGAGCAGUCAUGAGUAUGCUCCCCAAAAACCUGAUCGCCCACACACCCGUGCUAGUGUAGCUCUGUGGACAACGAUUUCGGAGGCCUGCUCUCCCAUACCCUCUAUGUUCGUAGAAGGUGGGACGAGAAUGAAUGUGUGCAACGACUCUGAGAUUGUUCGUACGUGCUAUUACUAGAAGCAGCCUCACCUCCUCUGUAUAUGUACACGCGUAGAGGGUGGCGAACGGACAAUAUCAGUCGCCAUCAGAGCUACCGUUACAGCAAGCCAGAAACUAACGCCACCAGUGACGUCCGUUAAUAGCUGACAGUGCCAUAACACAGGAAAUAGCCAGUAACGGACGACAAUAAUGGACGGUCAUCACUCCAGGCAAAAUGCUCAACCAUUAGGAAGGACAAUUCAGACCAAGGUUCGAUCUACCACGGCCACAGCCACGGUCCGGCUCGGCUUGUGGCGCGCACGCGUGUGGCAGUCCAUCAUCCUUUUCUCAGCUUCUCAAUAGAUGCACCAAUGGUCCACCUAAUUAAGUUGAUUGAUUUUUCCCUUGAACUUCCGGUAUAGUACUAAAGUACUAGUACACCGUAGCAUUAAAGUGGGUCCUUAGCAUUGACUAUUAUCGAAUAUUAAUUUGGGCCAGGCCCACAUUAAUUCAACAAUCCCCACCAAAUGCUAAGUCACACUAAAAUGCUCUCAUCAUCUCAAACGUUUGAUAUACUAGUGUUUCAAUGGAGACUGUUAAGUUGAACAUCCACCUAGAAUUUACACUACACUUGACUACAACUGCACAAUGAACUAGGCCUUGAAUUGGUAGUUUUGCAUGUAAAAAGUUUCAUCUAAACUCUUUACUAGUACUAGAUUGCCGAGCACAUCCGCUCUGGUUGGAGCAUAUAAGUCAAACUCCAUAGCCUUUCAUGGGUAUCUAGAGACCACCCAUAUUUCAUAUACUAUGACUAGCAGUUAACCCAUAUAGGUAAGUUCCUCUAAACAUGUUCUGUAGGACAACUCUUUGCUUCACAAAGCCACUUGGAACAUAUUAAGGUGUAAACACCAACCUACCUUAUAGUAAGGAAAGAUGUGCAUCUGAAAUGAACCUUAUUAAGGGUCUUUCCUCUCAGUCUAUCACUAGCUUGUUUCACCAUUCUAAUUCAUGGGAUCUCCGAUCACAUAGAACAGAUUACCACUAUGAUAAACUUUAGGUGGGUCUCAGACCCAUCUCACUCGAUGCACUAUCACACUACGUGAUAGCCCCUUAGUAAAUUGAUAUGCGAGAUUUAUAGACGUAUGGACAUAGCCCAACGCUAUCACUCCAGAGUUUCUCAAUUUCCUGAUAGAUUUUAAACGCCUCGUUAUGUGCCUUGUCGACUUCAUAUUAUCCUUAGAACUGUUUAUCUUGAUUAUCACAGUUCAUAGAAAUAGACGACACAGGUUUUUCAACCACCGGUAAAUCCAUAAGGAGUUCACAAAGCCACUCAUCCUCAACUGAAGGGGUAUCUAAUGCUGUGAGUUCUGCUUCCACAGUCGACCUCGUUAAUAUAGUCUGCCUGCAAUACUUCCAUGAAAUAGCGCCACCUCCAAGUGGAAACACAUAUCCACUUAUGACAUAUAUGUAACACCCCAGGUGUUACUAGGGUUUCUGCUUGACUUCUUCACUAGCUUAACCCUCACAAGUGAGUAAGACUACACUAAGUAAAGCCAUACUUGGGAACUCAGACUCUAAGUAAAUACCAAGUUACCAAGCGUUAUCAUUAUAGAAUCUUCCUAUGAUCAUUAAUAAGGUAAGAUGAUCUAAAACCCCUAAUUAUCAUAUCUUGAGCAAAAGAGAAGUCAGACAAAGAGAGCUAAAUGUACCUUACUACCAUGGCUUGACCACCACAAAUCUUGAUUGAAGCUUCACUAAACAAACACAAAAGAAGAGAAACAAGAGCAAAAAUUCAGCACACCUUUCUCUAAAACUUCAGAUCCGAUCAGAACUUCCCCGUGUUCAUCACAAAAACAACCUCAAAUACAGUCGCCCCAAUUAACAAUGUCGUGCUAAUUACCUAACCUAACCCCUGUCAGAAGGUGGCAUCAAGACUCCGCGCUUGGACACGACUAAACAUGAGAUUUUUCUCGGGUCUGCUGCCUCUGACAAACCAGAUUUGAACCCUAGAUAUCUUGGAAUCCCUGACAUGAGACUCUUUGAAUCCUACACCGUUUGACAGAGAGAAGUAAGGGGAGAAGAUCAUAUAAAGAGAUCUUGCCCGAACUCGGCCGGAUUCGCAACCUAUAGGGAUUUGAAAAUGACAAAACACCGCUGGCCAACCCGUUCAACCCCACGCGCACCAACCAGCGUCGAGCCCUGCCGCGCACUCAGGUUGGGGAAACGUAGCGUCGCGCUUGCCCCCGCACCUACAAAAGCCACCCACCCUGCACCCUUCCUCCACUCCACUGCUCGGUCGCUUCCUCGCCGGGAAACUCACCGAGAAGCAGGAGCUUCACCUCCGCCAUUGCCGCCCAGGUUCGGUCAGAGUGAACCACCAUUCUCGAACGCGCAACAUCCCAACCAGAGCCCCCCACCUUCUCCACCUGAGCUCCCCAAAACUACCUAGAACCCCAGCCAGCGCUUCCCUUCACCAGAAACCAGGUUUCACCCUCGCCAGAGCAAGGGUUCCACCGGUGAGCGUAGACCCGCUCUCACAGCCAACCCCAGCCAAAUUACUUUGGGGGAUCGUCUUCCUACCACCCGAGAAGCUUGCUCGCCAAAGGAAUCGAGCCUAGCCAACGUCGACUAGCCGGAACACCUUGUCGUCGAGCUCUGACCACCAGAGAAGGUAGACCGCGUGACUCCGACCACCACCGGCCAUCAUCCGACCACCGGCGAGAUCGUCAGAGCUUCCCCGACCUCUGAGACCACUUCGCCGAAACUAGACCAUCGCUGGUAAGCCCUGCCAUCCUUUCUUCCUCCAUGGUCACUAUUCCGGUGCGGAUAGGAGCGCGGGUUGGAUAGUUCAUAAGCCUAGGGGGUUUCGCGAUGUCAGUUUCUCGGGUGAAUAGCGCCCUAAGGACUAACUUGUAAAAGAAGAAGGGAAGAAAGCCCAGGGACCCCAGCGCUAAUUAGCCUUUGCCGAAAUCCUUUAAAAAUUCAAUUUUAAAUCUGCAGAGAGCUUGUAAAAUUCAUUACUGAAGAAAAUCACCAUUAAAUAACCACUAGGUUUCUUUGAGCUAAAUUUGGCACAGAGGCAUAAUAUUACUCAUAAACAUCAGCAAAAAUAAGCUUUAGGGCAGAAGCCACUUCUACACUCAGCAAAAAUAAGCUUUAGGGCAGAAACCACAAGAUGCCGUGCAGUGGCCGCACUUGUACCCACCAUAUCUAGAAUGGGAGACCCAGUCUCAGGUCGCGUGAGGGAUAAAGUCCGCGCCCGGCUUCACUCAGGUACUAGGUUUACCGGUUACCAUUUUUCCCAACAUGUGUUUAGUACAUUCAAACGCUUGACACAGGUAUCCGCAUGUUAAUCCUUAUUCCAAUUUUGUCUCAUAGACAACGCAUCCCCAUGGAUCCGUGUCCACAAACCAUCAUCAUUCCGUUAUCAAAAAUGGAUACAACCAAUUCCUGACCUCGCGCGAGUGCUAGAAAAAUCACUCGACUUCUAUCGAGAUCCUGAUUUAGCAUAGCAGCUACUCGACCUAGCAUACUAGUAUCCAUCUCAAAAGGAAUCCUGAGUUCAUGCAACUAGGGUUUCAGGCAACUCCUACACUUAAGUGCACGGUACAAGCCUAUAAACACUAAGUGUAGUAAAAUAGCAUAUAUAAACGGUUAUGCAUAAAACCGGGGCUUGCCUUUAAUUUAACACUUAGGUAGUGUUUGCUGGGGGAGGUACUCGCUUGGCGAGCAUCCACUGGUUAAGUCCAUCCUUCCUUGGGUCGUCCAUCAACUGCAUCUUGUGGUUGGCACCACAUCACUUGCACGAUCAUCAUCUCUCGGUCCUAAAUGAGAUGCAGGAUGCAUAUGUAUGAAUAUGAUGAAAUAUAUCACAAGACAAUCCCAAAAUAGACGGCAGCGAACUAAACAUUAAAUCGUAAGACACAGUAAACAACCACACACCAACAUUAGUUAUUUACACGCUAUCGGCGUUCUACACAACACCAUUAAAAGACAACAACCUUUUACUUAUUUACGCAAUACAACUACGACAUCACAAGUACAUGCAUUUACUAUGCUCACUUUAAUUAUCCAUUAGUUACCUAACCUUAAAUCAGUUAAGUCUAUAAGUUCGCUACGACUUUUCAUUAGUUCUUCUAUUAAUCACACAAAAGCAUCCUAAACACAAGUUUAACAGAGGACAUCGGUAUCAAUAACUACGAAACUCCUAUAUCACAAUCAACUAGGGAAGAAAUAUAUAAAACAUGACACAUAUAUUAUCUUAAACUUAGCCACGACAAGUCUACAUUAAUUAAGAGCUAACCAAACAUUUUUAGCAAAAAGGGUGAACUAAACAAUCAAAUGCGCACUUGCAGAUUUUUGGGACAGCAACACAGCAGUCACUCAUUUUAAUCAUAACUCUUCAAAUAUUAAUCCAAAAAUAGCAAAUUAGAACUUUCUAGAAAGCUUAAAAAGUGAACUACAUCUUUGGUAUUUUUACCUCAACAAGAUUCCACACUUAGCAAGGUCAAAAAGUGCUAACACAGCAGCUCUGUCCAGAUUUGGACAGAUUCAGUCUUCAGACUUUAAACAUCCAUAACUUAAUAUUCAGACCACCAAAAAAAGUGAUCCAAGACUUUUUAGAAAUCUUAGCAAAAGUACUACAUAACUUUUAUAAUCACCAAGAAGUGAUUCCAGGUUUAAUCAAAUCAAACAUUACAGUUUUCAAAAUCUGUUCUGACAGUGGACACAAGACAAUAACCAGUUUGUAAAAUUUAUAACUCUUAAACUGUCAGGCCUAUGAUUGUGAAAUUUUAACACAACCAAGAUAAGAAAAGCAUCUACAACUUUCUUAUAACGACCAUGAACAGAUUGUAAAACUAAAUUAGGCAAACAAUGCAGUUUCUGAAAUCUGUACAGAAUUUGGGCAGAUUCAGUUACUGAAUUUGUGAAAAGCAUAACUCCUAAACGAUCAGACCUAUGGCUGUCAAAUUUUAACACCAGCAAGAUAAUAAAGUUAUCUACCACUUUUCUAUAGCACAUAUCUACAGAAAAUAUAAUUUAGUUCAUCAAACAUACAACACAGGGAAAUCACUGCGUGCAGUCCAAAACCGCAAUUAAUAAAUAUCAGCUCCUAUACAAUUUAAGAAUUGCCGCGUUCUGGAGACUCGAACCAUUCUAACACUUUACCAUUUGUUAUCGUUAAAUUAAUCAAAUGAGGACUAAUAAGUAGACUUACUAAUUUUAUACAAGUUAUUUUGUGCCUAGAAGUUUUAUACACAAUUAGUAACACAUCUACCACAAUAAUCUUACCCGGCAUACAUAUAUAUCGAUGCGCUCUUCACAUAGUAAUUUACAUUUUAACUUGGGCAUCACAUUAACACUACUAAUUUUUACCCGCGACCGUAACCAUACAUAUUUAGACUACAACAAGCAAAUCAUCGUGAUUACGAGCUUAACCAACCCAUCUAACACUUCGGCUAACUAGAGCAACGGUAUAGCCCGCUAAAUAACAUACACGUCGGCUUGCCUAUUAUUAUCACUAUCUAAGGCACAACAUACACCACAACAUUUUUAUAAACAUACAUAUUCACAUGUAUAUUCAUACAUCGACCAAAUCAUACGAACUGUAAACCACUAAUCUUUAACUCGAAACCAUCAUGCGCUUACUUCCCAAAUCAUGAACACAUAACGCGUAUUGACCCGACUCAAGAUAUAGAAGAAGCGAUGACUACUUUGGCAUGUCACCACAUCUCUAAUUAAGCCAAAACAAUUUCUACUUAUAUCGACCGAACAUUCGUGUCGAGCACACCUUAUAUUACCUUGUCUCGCAUACAACCAUGUUGUGGCGUGCACUCGAGACACUACCGAUUAACUUAACGCAAUUACCUCUACAAUGCACUUCGAUAUACACGUUCGACAUCACAGUGCUUCGACAGACCCCACACUUCCAAUCUACUUGUCGCAUCCAAACACACCACAUUCCCACUGCAUUCUCAUGACCAAUUUUAGCACAAUUAUUUACGACAACAUUUAUCGACUAGACAAUGAAACACUAACCGAUCAUUCGCACAUCUCAUCUUAAAAACACUAAUCACAUGUCACAUAAUUUAUAUCUUCGAUCCACUCUAUCAUACACUACGAUGAAUACAUAAAAUAUUUUUAACAUAGACGAACAUCUUAGCCGACUGCGAAAAUUACCAAGCAGGCUUUAUGCUUUAUUAAAUUUACCACAACUAACACACUACUUUACGACGAAGUGUUUUUAACAAAUAACUAAUACUUCCGUGAAACACCCUCGCGACACGCAAUAGAUCCAUCACAGUCACACAUGUUCAACACCAAUAUACACCAUAUCUAUAUGUGUGCCAUCAACCGAAUCACAUUAAUAGUAAAUUAUAAAUCCAUCAACCUGUCAAACUCGGAUUCGAUUCGCGCAUGCCGUUCACGGUUUAGGCGGUUCACCGAACCAUGCAUCGCGCGAGGCGCCGCGACAACAUCUAGCUGCGAUUAACAACACUCAAUGGUUCAAACAUUUUAUCGAGUACAAAGAAUGUGAUAGCAGCAAGGGCAGUGGGUUUUCACCAGUAUUUGACGCCGUCGCGACUGGGGCUGCGCAGAUCCGGCGAGCGGCUGAGCGUUCCAUCGAGCAGGUAGCUUGUGGCAGGUGCUGGGCUUCCGCUGCCAGGAACCUGAUGGAGGGGCUUGGAGAUGAAGUUUGGGAAAUGCCCCCCCCCCCCGGCGCUCGUCGCUGGCGAACCCAACAGAGGGCGUGCUCUGGCCAAGUUGCAGGGGGAUGGACGUUCAGUCCACGGGAGAAGACCAUGGAUGACGCAUCGAUGCAUGGAGGAGCUUGGUGGCUGGAGAAUGGAGAGGGGGCGUGCAGCAGCAGGGAAGGGGAUGUUGCUGUCCACAGCUGGGAGAGCUGCGCGCACUGCCUAGAUACCGGUCUGGAACAGAGAAGGAAGAGAGGAGGGCGCCAUGGGAGGGAGAGCAGAGACAACGGAGCCGUGCACUAGGGACAGAGGAGCAAGGAGAAACGACGGCUGGUUGGGGGAGCUCGGCCAUGGGAAAUGGCGCUCGUGCCAUGGCUGGAGAGCACCUGCACAAGGCCGGACCAGAGGAGGUCUCGCUGGGGGAAGCGUCGGGCCAUGUGCCGCGGUGGUGCGUAGGGGAGUUGGAGGUCCGGCAGAGGCAUGGCCCGAGCUCGAGCAGAACGCGAUGGAGGAGCACGGCCGCCCGAAGGAGGGUUCCCAGCGCCAUGGAUCUGUGUGGGAAAGGGGCGCCUGCACCAGAAGAGUCCGGCCAUGGAGGCGAGCUGCUAGAAAGGGGUCGCCCUGGCCAAGGAAGCUCGUCUGCGCCUGGGGAAGAAGGGCAGGGAGCGUCGGCGUCGAGGGAGUUGUAGAGGCGAGCGGCUGCUCCCUGGAAGCUCCUGCGCGUUGGGAGAGGGAGCCGAGCAGGGCAGAGGAGGCCGGUGUUGGCUGGGAUGUGGAAGGAGAAAGGGAGAUGGCUGUAGGGAGCCUCUGCGCGCGGGGGAAGAAGAAUGCCCUGCCUGGCGUGCGUGAGGAGUCUGGCGUCUGGCGUCUGGCUGAUUUAACAGGACGCUGCUGGCAUUCCAUUGGUCGGGAUGGGCGGCAUUUCUUACUGGCCGGCUGCAGCCAUUGGCGCAGGAUUUGGUGGCCAGCCACUGGCCGGGGGCUGGCAGUGGCAGACUAGUGCUGUCGGCUGGAGAAGAAGACAGGGAGAUGGUGGCCGCUGAUUGAUUAUUUAAAGAGAAAACGAGAUGAUUGUUUAGGAGGUAAUAAAUUUUUUUAUUUGAUUUCUCUGAGACAAGAGCUCUCGUAUGAGUUGUAUAUUAAGACAAGGGCAAUUUAUUGGUUGGAGAGGAGUGGUCAUCUGUUAGCCGAUUCGCGCAGCGCUCACUCGUUGGUUGAGACCGACGAAGGGAAUGGAGCGAACUGACGCACGGAUGAACGAAAGGCCACAGAAUAAAAUAAACCGAGACAUUUUAUUUGGGUGUUGCUUGGAAAUUGAAUUCUCGCGCAUAAGUAUAAACAAAAUGAAUCGAGGUCGAUCGGCUUCGGAUUCGGCAUCGAAAUAAAACGAGUCGGAUUAAUAAAAAUUAUUGCCGAUGUUGAUUUUCGAAUUUAGAUGGGACACAGAGAUUUUAAGCCGAGUUGGAUAAAAAUUUAUUAGAGGACAAUACAUUGGAGAUUCCGCUUGAGAGUACGGACUAAGAUUAAUUUUUGGACAUAGAUCUAACAUUGAGAAUUUGGAUUCGGACAAAGCUCGACUAGCAAUUGUCGAGUGCUUGAUUAAAUGAACUUUGAACGAGAUUUAUAAAUCGAGAAUGAUUUUCGAGUUUGCAUUCGUGUUGAGAAAUAAAAGUUUUAACAGGCUCCAAAUUCGGCCUUCUGUGAGACUGAAUAACUCCGAAUUCGGUGAAAUGUGGAUGAAUAAUCCGGAUAAUCAGAGACAUACGCGAGCGAGAAUAGAAAUUUUUACUGAGCAUCCGAGAUUAGGAUAAAUCUCCCGAUAUAAUGCGAAAUAGACACCUGGGGUGUCACAGGAGUUGAAGUAUUUCCUAGAAUUUCAAGUCAAGCAACUCCAAGAUGGCACCUUCAUUAGCCAAACAAAGUACAUUCAAGACAUACUUAACAAGUUUGUAAUGAAGGAUGCCAAGCCCAUCAAGACACCCAUGGGAACCAAUGGGCAUCUCGACCUCGACACGAGAGGUAAAUCCGUAGAUCAAAAGGUAUACCGGUCGAUGAUAGGAUCUUUACUCUAUUUAUGUGCAACUCGACCGGAUAUUAUACUUUCCGUAUGCAUGUGUGCAAGGUUCCAAGCCGAUCCUAAAGAAGUUCACCUUACAGCCAUGAAGAGAAUCAUGAGGUAUUUAGUUUACACUCCUAAGUUUGGACUUUGGUACCCCAAGGAAUCCACCUUUGAUUUAAUAGGAUAUUCUGAUGCCGAUUGGGCAGGGUCUAAAAUUGAUAGGAAGAGCACAUCAGGGACUUGUCAGUUUCUAGGGAGAUCCCUAGUGUCAUGGGCUUCAAAGAAACAAAACUUAGUAGCUCUUUCCACCGCCGAAGCCGAGUACAUAGUCGCAGGACAUUGUUGUGCGCAAUUACUUUGGAUGAGGCAAACCCUCAGGGACUAUGGCUACAAAUUGAGCAAAGUCCCUCUCCUAUGUGAUAAUGAGAGUGCAAUCAGCAUGGCAGAUAAUCCCGUUGAACACAGCCGCACUAAGCACAUAGACAUUCGGUAUCACUUUUUGAGAGAUCACCAACAAAGGGGGAUAUCGAAAUUGCUUAUGUUAGCACCAAAGAACAAUUAGUUGAUAUCUUUACUAAACCUUUAGAUGAGAAAUCCUUUAGCAAACUUAGGAAUGAGCUAAAUAUUCUUGAUUCUCGGAAUUUUGAUUGAAACAUUGCACACAUAGCUCAUCUACAUACCUUUGAUCAUAUCUCUUUCAUUUGGUACGACUAAUGUGUUUUCAAGUAUAUUUCUGUACUAAGUCAUAGAUUGAAAGGGAAAUGGAGUUUUUGGCGAAGACAAGGCUUCCACUCCACUCUAUGGUAUCAUUUACCCUUCGCCGUCAUUCCACAUCACUCCAAAUUGGUAUAAUCUUUCACGCAUAUUUACUUGUACCAAUGGGGGAGAAAGUAAAGAGGGCUCUCAACAGUCUCCUUUUUUGGCGAUUAAUGCCAAAGAGGGAGAAAGUAUUAAGCCCAAAGCAAAAGAACUACACCACCACCUAAUUUUAAAAUUGUGUUUUGAAAAUUUUAUUUGGUGUAUUUGAAAUUGGUAUCCAAGUGAUAUUGUUUUAAACUUCAAUUGGUAUCUUGUUAUGACAAUCUCUUCGAUUGGGAUGGUUAUUUUCAAUUGGUAUAUUUAAAGAUAGAUUUUCAAAAUUAGUAUCUUUUAAAAACCCUCAUGAAAACUAAGAGGAUAAUUUCAUUCAGGGAGAUUUUUGUUUAGCCAAAGGAAAAGCAUUUAAAGUAGGGUGAGAAAUUUCAAAUCUUGAAAAUGUUUUUUGCAAUCUUAUUCAUAUACCUUUGACUAUUUGCAAAAGACUUUGAAAAGUGUUGGGGGCCUUCGUCUUCCGAAGGUCCUCAAAAACAUGAUUUAACAAUGUUUUCCAAGUGUGACAUAUGAACAGGUACCUUCGGACUCGGGUUAAAACAAUACGCGAUGUGAAAAGCAUGAUUGAGACGAAGGUUGAUGUUGCUCCGAAGCUACACGUAAGGGAGCUUCGGCUAAGUGCCAGAAAAAGAAACCAACCUAAAGGGGAAAAGGCUAUUUAGUCCUCGUUGGUUUAUCCAUAAGUCAAUAGUAAAUAUAAAGGGCAUGAAUGUAAAUUUACACAGGCUGCGCCCUGUGCCUAUAAAUAGAUGAACAGUACCCCCGUACUGUUCACGCUGACUGGUACUCGCUCAUGCAUCACACUUGUACUUUCACCUUCUGUCAAGCCGAAGGUAUAAAUAUAAUUCAAUAUUGUUUUUGUAUAUCCAUGAUAAUGUAAUAAAUAUGUAUUGAUAAUGAAAUGUGAUUAUUCAUGUUGUCUCUUAUAUUUCGUAUGCUUCUUCUUCUAUUAACAUAUACCGCGAUGAUGAAGGUAUGUCCUUCAUGACCUUCGUCUGAAGAUCAUUAUAUCCUAAGGGAAAUAAUGCUUCGAAGGACGAAGGGCAUUAACCUUUAACAUUUUGUGUUGCCUUGUUCUUAAUUCAUAGCAUUUGAGAACAAGUCCCCAACAUUGGCGCCCACCUCCGGUGUACUCACUUCCACAACCUUCGGCAAAGCACUGACCUUCGUCAUGCUGCCGAAGAAGAUAACAGCGCCAGGGGCUGCUACACUAUAGCCAUUGGACACAAAUUAGGAGAUUCUCUCUCUUCGAGAGGCUCGAAGCUAGAAGAGAAAGGCCACCAGUCCAACACUCCUGGAGGAGGAGUUGGACCAAGAGAUCAGGGACAUGGAAAUCAUCCAUCAACAAGUGCAAAGGAAGAAGGAGAAGAUGGCUCGGCUGGCCGAUCUUCAAAGGAAGAUCGACGAAGCUACUGAAGAAGUGUGUCAUCUUGCUCAAGAUGAACAAGACCGAAGGCCCCAACACAGAGAGCUUCAUCAGGAAGGCUUAUUCAACGAGGAUGGAUGGUAUGAUGAUUUUAAUAAUGAUACCUUUACUUUUGAUGAUGCUUCUCCCUUGGCAGCAGAAUUGCAGGCUAUCCCAUGGCCACAAUCUUACAAGCCACCCCAGCUACCCAUGUACGAUGGGCACUCAGACACAAAACAAUUUCUGAUGAGCUAUGAGGCAACAAUAUCCUCAUACGGGGGCAAUGCAGCUGUCAUGGCUAAGUCCUUCGUCAUGGCAGUCCGGAAUGUGGCCCAGACAUGGUAUUCUUCCCUUCGGCCAGGGACAAUCAUGUCGUGGUAGAAGCUCAAGGACAUGCUAGUGAUCAGUUUCCAAGGCUUUCAGACGAAGCCAGUCAUAGCUCAGGCCUUGUUCUAGUGCAUGCAAGACCAUGAGGAAUACCUCCAGGCGUAUGUCCGAAGGUUCUUGCGACUGAGGGCACAAGUGCCCACAGUGCCCAAUGAAAUUCCAUUGAGGCCAUGAUUAAGGGUCUUCGGCCAGGACCCAUGGCUCCGUACUUCGCUAGGAAGCCCCCACAAACUCUGGAGAAGCUGCUUUAGUAGAUGGAUGAAAACAUCCGGGCUGACAACGACUUCCGCCAAAGAAGGGAGGAAGCUUACAGAUUCUCAGAAAUGACCAGGGGCUUCGGAGGAAGAAUUCACCCGAGGCAUGUCAGGUCAAUCCACAAUUCUAGUCAGAAUGACAACAAAGGAAGCCAGCUUCAGAGGCCACAGUACACCUCACAAUCUUCGGGGCAACAACAAAGCUCUUUCAGGCCACCAGCUCCAAGGGGCAGAGGUCCCAGGGGCUUCGGAGGAAGAUAUGGGGAUCAGCCCAGGAAGAUUUAUUGCUUAUUCUGUGGUGAGGACAAGGGCCAUACUACAAGAAUGUGCCAAAUCACCAUUCUGAAGCAAAAGGAGAUCGCAAAAGCCGAAGCUCGACAGAAUCAGCCGAAGCAGGUCUUGCACACUGCUUCGUGUCACUCUCCCUACAUACCAGAAUAUGUGGGCAAUCAUCCUGCAGCUUCUGUUGCUUCGGCUAGCCAUUCACAGGCUUCCUGGCCACAGCUCCCACCCCCACCACCACUACAACCAACCUAUUCUCGAAGCCAGCAGCUAGAAGGGCGCCAGCACACCCAACAGCAACGGGAGUUCAGGGAGGAAUCCGAAGCUCGCACAGUCAACAAUAUUGUGCCAGAAUCAAAGCACAUUUAUUGAGCGAUAUCCUACCCCUGAAAUACUUUUAUGUUCUACGUCAUUUUGUUUUUCAAUAAGGAACAAGCAAUGUAAAUCUAGUUUUAAUUCCUUGUAAUAGUUUCGCUUCUAUCAGAAUGAAAUAUAUCUUCUUCACAGACUUACGAAGCUCAAAAAUUGCCGAAGCUCAAAAACUCGUUCCUAAGGGAAUGCAGAGCUAAAAAUUGUCGAAACUACAAAAAGUCGUUCCUAAGGGAGCACAACAUAAGUUUUGCCGAAGCUACAAAAAUUUGUUCCUAAGGGAGCGAAGUGUAAGUUUUCUGCUCAAAAGUCGUUCCAAAAGAAAUGCAAAGCCAAAUACCGCCGAAAUAUAAGGCGAAGAAGUUCAAAAGACGUUCCUAAGGGGAUGCAGAACUUAUACCGCCGAAAUAGAAGGAGAAGAAGUUCAAAAGACGUUCCUAAGGGGAUGCAGAACUUACACCGAAAAAUAAACGGUGAAGCCGAAAAAUAAACGGCAAAGAGAUUCUGAUCGUUCCUAAGGGGACGCAGAGAUUGUGUGUUUCAAUGUGGGCGUGUGGGUGUGUGUCUUCAGCAUUAGCAUCAUUUUUUGCAGCAUAUCAUCACAUCAUCCCUCAUAGCAUCACAUCAUACAUCAUAUCACACCAAUGACACGAAUUGAAUACGAAGUCAAUCUUCGGAGAAUGCUUUGUAAAAAUCAAAAUGUGCUAAGGCACAAAGAAAGCUGAGAAAUAUAGCUUCAUCAGCUCUGUUGCAAAAGAAGGGAUCCCUUGUUUUCGAAGCAUGGAUAUUUUUUCGAAGCAUGGAUGUUUUUACGAAGCUUGGAUAUUUUCACAAAGCAUGGAUCUUUUUUCUUUACGAAGCAUGAAAAGAAGGGAAGGUGUUUUUUCGUCGAAGGCUCAAAAACGGUAUGUAUAUAAAGUUUCAUGCAUCGCAAAGAAGUGAAUUACAAAUAAUUUACAUAUUAUAUUCAAAGAUAUACACAUCAAACAUUACAGUCUUGUUACAAUAAAGCUACAUUGACCAUUUAAAAAUGUUUUUACAAAAAGUCUAGUCUUCUUUCAGGAUCUUCUCCGCAACUUCAUUUAGCAAUUUAUUGACGACUUCGUCAACAAUAGAUUCAGCCAUAUUAAUGAUCUCCAGUGCUUCCUUCGUUUCUGGAUCGGCCAGGGGAUCGAACGGUUCCAGUGGCGGAGAUAAUUCAGCUACAGUGGAAAAAGUUAAUUAGUCCGAAUCCAUAAAAACAAAUGCCGAAGGUAAAGGCCACGAAACAAUACCUAUACGUUUUUCACGCUCUGCAGCUUCUUCAGCUUGUUUUGCUUCUACUCGGGCGUCAGAAUGUCUUUUUCACUUUUCUUCAAAAUUUCGUGAGCCAUCUCUCGGCCACCAUUAACCUAGAUGUCAUUAUAAAAUUUCCCGCCCAUUAAACUUGCUUCAGCCGAGGGAUCCUUUGUAUCAUCCACGGAGAAGGCAGCUUUGGCCUGGGCCGGGGUCUUGAUAUGGUCGCAUCCCGCAUUCUCCAAGAUGGCUGAAAAUCCCCACGCACCGGAAAACGCGCAAACAUACCUGCGAUCACUUAAAAUCUCUUCGAAGGCUUCAGCCUCUCCACUUAUCCACUCAAUAACGCCUUCGGGGUCACCUCGUAUGAAGUUUUCUUCGGAAGAGUAGGCGCCCACGUUGGUGAAGCUAGUCUUUAUUUUCUUCACGCAGCCCAAGGAUUUUUCAAAGCAUCUUUCCUUGGAUGCACGAAGUUCUUCAACAGUUUUCUCUAAAUGGUUUUUCCAAUAUUCGCUAAUCUCUCGGUUAGCUUCUGCGAGUGCGCAUUUUUCUUUGGCUUCUGCCAAAUGUUUCUGAAGGUCUUCAAUUUCAUUCUUUUGGAUUUCGGCCUGAGCCUUGAAACUAGCUUCAUCUUCUUUCACAUUGUUUACCAAUGAAAUCAAGAUUUUGUCUUUUUCAAGACCUUCGUUUCUUAAUUGAAUUACCUCUGAACGAAGGUUGUUCAGAGCCAUCGUAUAUCCUUCAUCUUCAAUGUUUUUCUGAGCCCUAAGCGCAUUGCUAAGAAUUAAGCCAUGCAAGAGGAAGACAUAAUUAAGUAUAGCAAAUAAAAUAUUUCGUUUUCAAAUACAAAAUUAGCUUUUAUACCUUUAUGCUAUUAUACGCUAAGCUGUCAUCAAGCUCAUCCUUCGAUAAGAUUGAAAGGGCAUCUUCUAGCUUCGGGAAUCCGAUGCUUCUACUUAUCUCCCGGUAAACGGAUAUCUCUUUAUUAUCCGGGAGACAGUACAAAAAAUCUUCUUCCCCACUUCCAUUAAACACUAAUGCCCCCUUCGGGUAUUUUAAUUUUUGGGCAUAGUGUAGUGCUUCUAGCUUUUCUUCCUGAGAAGGUCCCUUCCCCAAAGCAUGAUGAAUGAUGUAAUCAGUGCUUUCUUUUGAAGCUUCGGAAGCAGGAGCUUCAACCUUUUCAGACGCAAUUUGCUCUGUCGCCUUUUCUUCAACUACUGUAGGCUCUGUCUUAGUGGGCUCUGAAGGCCCAGCUUCGAUUUCAGCUUGAAUUGUUGCACCUUCGACUUCUGCCUGCUUCGUUUCAGCUUCGGGUUGCGCUUUGGAAGCUUCGGCAAUUUUCUUGAAGGAGCAGGACUCAAGGUUUUUGUUGUUUCUAACACAACAUCUAGCACAUUUGCCAUCCUUCUCCUCUUAGGAGUUGCGGCAGAAACCUUUUGUGCCUUCAGCACUGUUACCUCUGAUGAAGGGCUCAAAAUCUCUAGCAUUUUUGUUAUUUCUUCAAUUUUUGACCCUUCAGCCUUAUCCUAUCAGCCUUCAUCUCAACUAGCUCAACUAAAGGUAACUUUGGCAUUAUAGCUGGCUCUUCAGUCCUCUGCGCAGGAGGAACAAUUUCUUUUGUUUUGGCAGCCGAAGAGGCCCCUUCGCCAAAUUCAGGAAUCAUGGCCGGUUCGAUGUAACGCGGCCGGUGAGUCAGAACCUUCAUCUUCUUGCUCUUCGGCUCAGCUGUGAUGGCCGAAGCGGCAACCUUUCUAGAAACAACAAUCUUUCUUUUUACUCCUUGCCCUCGCGGCGGGUAACAAUAGUCAGGGUAUACGAAGCCAAUAGCAUCGAAUACCCUGUUCAACCUUUUCUUAUUCCGACCCCCGAAGGCUGCGGACAAGGCAUUGUCUUCCGUUUUGGAAUAUGCUCCAAGCAGUUCAUCACUUGUAGCUUCGAUGCACUUCAGCCAGUCGUCGUUUGGUUCAUCAAACUUAUCCCCAAACCUGAAUGUAUACUUCAGCCGGACCAAACCACCUUCGCUAGAGUUAGUGAUGGUCUCCUUUGGCAUUUCCUAGCUUUCUACAAGCGGCCAUACUUUGAAUGCUAUAUGUUCUUGAAUUAAAUCUCUUGUGCCAAUGAAGGAGCAAAUAGUACUGAAGACCUUCUGACACGCUUCGGCGGCGUCAUCAAUUUCGACCUUCGGCCUUUGGAGGCUGAAGCGGGACCAGAUGGGGCGCAUAAUGAUUUCUUUUAUAUCUUCCCUCGUCUUUAGAUCGUUUUUCACAUCAAACCACUCUUCCAUCCAGGCUCCGGGCCAUCUUUUCCAAAAUGUCGGCACCAGGUGGCUUGCGUUGGGGCGGGCGAUAAAUCCAUAACAACCGAAGUUGUUGUGGUACUGUUCUUUACCCAUGGCCUUCGUCUCAUAUAGAAGUUCGUGCAUACUACAAAAUCACUUUGCGCUUGGCUCUAGCCCUUGACUCCUUACUGACCAGACAAAAAUCCCCAUCCUUAUUAUGGCUUCGGGGGUGAUCUGAUGAAGGAAGAUUUGGUAGGUCUUCAACACUUCAACUACAAACUUACUCAAAGGGAACCGAAGCCCAGCCUUGAAGAAGCUUCGGUAAAUCACAACUUCGUUCUUCUCAGGGCCAGGGACGUUGUUGUCUCUGCCAGCCCUCACAAUAGACAUGUCCCGUAAAUACCUUCCUCUCAUGUUCUCAAGAUGACUCUGUUUGAUGGUUGAUUUUCCGAAGAUUGAAUGACUUGGCCUCCAAGGCCGAUCCUCAGAAUCCUCAUCCCCACUUUUCACAUCAUAGCUAUCGCUGUCACUAGUAUCUUCAGAUAAACCUUCUAGUAUCUCUUUAGUAAUUUUCUCUGUGUUUGUUUUUGCCAUCGACUCAAAAAUCUAGCAAUAUAAGGGUUCACAGUCUUCUCCUCAAAUAGCUUCUCCUCUUCAGUCAGCUUCGUCUCCGCCACAACCUUCUUUUCCUGAGACAUCUUUUCACCAGAAAUGGUGAAAACACGUCUUUUAAACUGAAGCUCAGAGAGCAUGAAAAUCUAGCAAGUGCUAGUGAGCAAGAGCUAUAAGAUUGAGAAAAUAAUGCAAAUAGCAGAAACAGCGUAUCAAAUGCAGCUGAUGUGAGCUCCUAUUUAUACGCCCAGUGCGCUGCAGAUUGGAGGUGCCCGCCUGUCAUUGAUUAUUGCUAUUCUAGCAAAGGGAAGGUGUGUUUUCGGACCUUUGGCUUAAGGCCUUCGUCCAUGUCGCAGUCUGAAUUCGUUAUCUUAACAAAUUAAUACUGCGAGGGGCUACUGUUGGGGGCCUUCGUCUUCCGAAGGUCCUCAAAAACAUGAUUUAACAAUGUUUUCCAAGUGUGACAUAUGAACAGGUACCUUCGGACUCGGGUUAAAACCAUACCCAAUGUGAAAAGCAUGAUUGAGACGAAGGCUGAUGUUGCUCCGAAGCUACACGUAAGGGAGCUUCGGCUAAGUGGCGGAAAAAGGAACCGACCUAAAGGGGAAAAGGCUAUUUAGUCCUCGUUGGUUUAUCCAUAAGUCAAUAGUAAAUAUAAAGGGCAUGAAUGUAAAUUUACACAGGAUGCACCCUGUGCCUAUAAAUAGAUGAACAGUACCCCCAUACUGUUCACGCUGACUGGUACUCGCUCGUGCAUCACACUUGUACUUUCACCUUCUGUCAAGCCGAAUGUAUAAAUGUAAUUCAAUAUUGUUUCUGUAUAUCCAUGAUAAUGUAAUAAAUAUGUAUUGAUAAUGACAUGUGAUUAUUCAUGUUGUCUCUUAUAUUUCGUAUGCUUCUUCUUCUAUUAACAUAUAUCGCGACGAUGAAGGUACGUCCUUCAUGACGUUCGUCUGAAGAUCAUUAUAUCCUAAGGGAAAUAUUGUGUAACACCCCUGGUGUUACGUGAACUAAAACUCUGACAUGUCAUCAUAAGCAUUUGCAUUAACUUGCUUGUUACACCUAGAAUGCAUUUACUAGGUUAAAAUUUUCGAUUCAAAAGUGUGAUGUUGUGUGUCGAGUAUAGGACUUAGGUUGAAAAACUUGCUUAGAAUUAUGGAUAAACAAAGCAACUCCUAAACCAAGGACACUUUGGACAUGAGUUUCAUGUACUAAAGUUGGAUUUGAGACUAAGGAGUCACUUGGCUUUUAGGAGGAUAGAUUGAGUUGGUAAAUCACUAGAUGAGAAGGAACCACAAUUGAAACCCUAAAUUUGCCCCAAACGAGGAAUUCAAAAUCUAGAGAGAAUUGGGCAAAAAUCAAAGUACCAAAGGUGUAGGGCUUGGAAAAGUGAAUAACUUUCUUAUUUGGAGAUUCCCAAGUUGUGUGGAAGAAUUUAGAGCUAAGUAUAAAAAUUCAGUUUUGAGUUUAGAUUGGAAUUUCUGAAAAUAAUAUCAACUAGCCAACUCUGGACCAUUGUAACUUUUGAUUUAUAAGCAUUUUGAAGAUGAUCAUUAUAACCAAGUUAUAAAACUACAUGAGGAGUAUAAGUUUGGUUAAGUCACCUAGCCCUAAAACUGUUGGAACUUAGAGAAAACCUGGUCCAAAGUAAAGCUGUCAGAAAUUGUAGGUUUCAGACUUAGUGAAAUUCAGAUUCUGAAUUUCAGCAAUUGGAGCAAACUUUGGGCUACUGUAGUUUGUAAUCCAAGAGGUUUUGGUUAAUGGUCACUACAUCAAACUUGUAGAGGAACUAUAGGAGUAUAAACUUUAUUAAGCAACUUGCCCCUAUAAACAUUUGGAACCCAGGAAAAAGAAUGGUUCCAAGUGGUGCUGCUAUAUUUCUGAAUUUUCAGAUGGUGAACAGUCAACUGAACUGAAUUCAGUGUUUUGAUAGCAGUUUUGGAGUUUGUUUGUGGCUGUUCUAUAAGGUUUUAUACUAUGGUGCUUAUAGAGGAAUUAAAGACCAUAUAUUGGUGAACAACUUCCUUAAAGGGUGAUGGACAUGAUCCCAUAAAAGAAUUGGAAUAACCACUGCUUAAAGUGGGACUGUGUUGUGGCUGAAACUGAAUUAUAUUCAGUUUUUGAAAACUGAAUUUCAGUGAAAGUUGCUGAGUUUGGAGCUCUUUUGUGAUCAGUUCAUGAGGUUUUGAACAAAUAACUAUAUAGCAAAGUUGAAUACCAGAGUAUACUGAACAAGUUUGCUAAAGUGAGAUGGACCUGGUUCCACAUAGAUUUGGGAGUAAAGUAGCCAAAAAGGUGGACUGUCAGGUGUUGGGAUUCAGACUUAGAAUAAUAUUUAAGUCUGAAUAUGUGUGUUUUUACCCAACUUUGGGGUCUUGUGGUAAUAAAUCAAAAGAGAUUUGAGUUAGGAAUUCUGUAACAAACUGAAAGGCCAUAUAUAGGAGAACAAAUUCUCUUAAGUGAUGUUGGUCUGGUGCUACACAAAAUUUGGAGUAAAUGCCCCAAGAAAUGGCACUAUGUGAACUCUGAACUAAAUUCGGAGGACUGAAACCAGGUUCAGUGAAUUGUGGCUGAUUCUUGGACACUAUAACUUGUGAUACAUGCAGAUUGGGUCCCAGAUUCUUGUAACAAACUUCAAGAGCCUUAGUUAAUGAACAAGUUUGGUUAUGAAGGAUUGGUCUGUUGCUAUAUAAAAAUUGUGAGAAAAUAGGGCUUCAACAGAGAGGCCUGCAGCUGCAUGGGAUCAGUGGUGUGCUAGUUCAGUCCAUUGUUGGGUUGGUUUAUUGUUUUUCUUGGGAUUUUGGAGCUGUUUUGUGUCUGAUCCGAGGGGUAUAAGACUAAGGUCCCAAUGGCAAAUUGUUAGAGGGUUAGUUGGUGAACAAAGUUCAUUAAGGUUGGUUCUCCUGUUGUUGCUAGGAACUGGGAGAGAUGAAGGGGUGAAGUUGUGAACUCAGUCAAACAGCAGCAACUCAGUGUACUCCAAGAAUAUCUGAAGGAGAUCUUUUUAUCCCUGCUGGUUUCUCUAGUGUUUCUCGAAUUGAGAUGUGGUUGGGCUAGUCAACAAAAGAUCUAGUAGCCUCACCCCUGCAGAAAAAUAUCAAUUUUGGACCCAUUGCUGCCUGUAACAGGUGGAGUUCUCAUCUGAUAUUUCUGUAGUAUGUCAUAGGAUAUUUUGGCUAUUAAGGCUGACCAGAUUCAGUGUCCCAGCUGCCCCUAUGAUCCUGUGCUGUGCUGGUGCAUGGGAGCCACAUCAUUGGGCUCAUAUGUUGGUGGCACUCAAGGAAACACCCUUCCCUGCAUGUUGAACAUGUGUAGGGACACCUUGCCCCAUAUUCAGCUAUUUAUAGGGCUUGGUUUUGGACAGAUUUCCCUCCCUGCCUUAAGCUCCAGCCAUAGUCCACUAUGGGGGCGUGGGGAUCCUGGUGUUUUGCUGGUGUUAACCUUCCCCACAGCGACCUAGUUUGCUUCAGCCAGUGCAUCAUGUGACCAUGGUGACCAUGCAACCCGAGUGCUCUUCUCACCGUGGCCAGGUAAUUUCAAGGUUUCCUUAGCCAAGCUAUACAUGUUUUGUGCUCUACAUAAGAUAGAGAAGCUCAUGUGAUGGUGAACAAAUCUCCUUAAGACAGUUUUGUUGGAUGUUAUAUGAAAAUUGGAGUAAAAGUGGUCUACAAUAGGGCUAUCAGAUUUCAGACUUAGUGAAAAUUCUGAGUCUGAAUUUGUAUGUUUUGGUGCAGCUUUGGAGCUCUUUGUUGCUCUAUCCAUAGAGUUAUAGCUUAUGGCCACUAUAACAAAGUUGUAGAUCUGUUAUUGGAGUACAAGUUUGAUUAAGCGAUCUGAUCCAAAAACUAUAUAGAACUAAGUGUAAAGCUUGCUUAAAAGUGGGCUAUCAACUUCUGGGUUUCAGACAGCUAAUUGGCUAUGUCUGAAUUUCAGUAAACUUUAGCCAUGUUUGGACCUUUGUAGUGGCUAACCUGUAGGGAAUUAAAUUAUGUCUCUUAUAGCAAAGCAAUAGAGCUAUAGUAGAAGACCAGGUUUGGUUGAAGGCUAUACCCUAGAAGCUAUUUGGAACUAGGAGAAAAAGUGAGCUAAAGUGGAGCUGGCAGAUUUCUGGAGUUUUAGAUAAAUUCAGUGUUGAUGGCUGUUUUUGGACCGUGUUUGUGGCCAAUUCAUGAAGCUUUGGAUUAUGGUUUUGGUAGAGGAAGUGAAGACCAUAUGGUGGUAAAAAAGUCCCAUUAAGUAAGUUUGGCCUUUUCCUUUUCUAGAGAACUUGUGAAUAGCGCUAAAAAUAGUAGAAAAUUCCAAACAUCAUGGGACAAAUUUUGUUGGAUGUCUAAAAUCAAGAGCUCUCUGGUAAAGUUGGUUUUAGGAUUUUUAGAGCAAUUAGAAAGUAUUAAGUGAAUUAAAGGUGCUUUUGAAAGGACUGUUUGGAUUUUAGAAAUAAAAGUACAAUGGCAAAAAUUGUGGAAAAUUUUGAGUAACCUUGCUUUGGUCUUUGGAGGGUGUGAUAAAGGUUUGAGGCUAUUUGGAAUCCAUUUGCUAUGAGAACUUUGUAAGCCCCAAAAUAGAGUGGUUAAUCCUUAAUCAAGUGUGGGUUAAUGCUUUGGAAAGGAGAUAAGUUUAUCUAGGGAAGAGAUGAAGUUGCUUAAGAAGUUUUAAGCUUUUGGAUGAGAUAUAAGUGGAUUAAUUCCCUGGUUUACCUAAGUGAUUUCAAAUUGGUCACUUUAAUCGAGCGAUAAGAAAUAAGUGUAUUCUUGUCAUGUGCUUUAGUUGUAGUGUUUCUGUUCUCCACCUCUCCUUGUGAGAGUUUGCAUUACAUGGCAUUCAUUCUUAUAUACACCUAUAUAUGGUUAUGUUUAGAAAACGAAGAAGAGAUCGAAGUGACUCAAGAGAAGACAUCACCACCUUUGAAAUCUCAGGCAGGGACUUGGCUCUACUUCGACAUCUGCGAGUCCGAGCCUGACUCGCCUAUAAACAAAGGCAAGCCCCGGUGCAUGCAACCCCUUCCUUGUGUUUUUAAAUACUUUUCGCACACUUAAGUCUAGUGAAAUGUGCAUUAGGUUUAUAGGAGUUGCUCGAAACCCUUUGAUGCAUUGCCUUCCUUGAUAUCCAUACCUUUAUAGAUACUUCUGGUGAAGUAUCAAAAUUUGAUUUACAUAAAUGCUUAGCCCUGCUUAGAUCUUGUGGAUAGAGGUUGUCUUUUGCAAUACUGCCUAGCUCAGGGGUUAUCCUGAGUAAAGAUGACUUCUACCUGCAAGAAUAUAUUUUCAUUGGGAGCAUGGUGGGAUCUUACUGCAAAGUUCCCUGUGAUGCUCUUUUCAUCCUAAGGAACAGAAACAAUCCUAAGGAUGGAAAUACUUAAAUCAAGACUUGGGCUAGGAACAGGUGAUGUUCUACCCAGGUUGAUUAAGGAUUGAAUGCGUAUGUAGGCUUGAUAGAGCAAGGACUAUCUUAGCUAGCCGCAUACCCUGGAAAUGGGACAGGGUAAGCUUUGCCUCGGGCAGACUAAGGCCAGAAUAAGAUAACACGAAAUGGGCGUGGAGCGGUGGCGGGAGUAGCGUGUACCCUCCGUGGCAAGAGGCUGGACGGUGGUGUAUCUGUGCUCUCGGUUUGCGUGAACCUGAUCUGGUCUUAAGAACCCUGGGGUCGAGUUGACAUAUGCAAGGAUUAAGUGCUACAUAUGUCGUGUGGUUAGAGAUCCUCAGCUGAGUAAAUCGAUUCGGAUCGCCGUUAUAUCCCCGGAGAGUGGAGACUUGAUCACUGCCCUACAACCUAAGUCAGGAUGUGAACUUCGUAAAUAAAAAUGAUGUUGUAUUGAUGAGAUGAUGAAAUUAGACUAGAGGCAAACAGAGUCUAUUAAUAUUUAAUCUGGCGUUAAAAUGUUGAAAGUAAGGACUCACUUUAGUAAGCUAUUUCUGCAGAAGUAUCUAAGUUGAUUCUUGCUAAAGCCUCUCCUUGAUUCCUAUUUAUCCAGCAUACCCUUGAGAGUCUUUUCUUUAGUCGGGUAAGACUUGCUGAGUAAUUCCAUACUCAGGGUUUAUCCCUUUGUUGUUUUUAGGUGAGGAAGCGACAAAUUUUUGUUGCUUUUGCUCCAAGGUGGUAUCAAAUGAAGAAAAACAAGAGUGAAGAUGCGGGAGGACGUGGUCCUCCAUAUAGGACUUUUUGUUUAAAGCUAUCGGGAGGAGUUUUUGCCUCCCUUGAUAUGUGUACUACUCAGCACUCGUUUAUAGCUCUGGUCUGUAAUAAGUAACUUGAUCUUACUUUCUAAAUAAAUGUAAGUUUAUGUAAUAGCUUCCGCAUUUCUUUAUCUCCAAUGUUCUGUAAUGUCUGCAAGACGGGUGAAACGUUCCUGGUAAGGUAAGGAAAGAUACCGAACUUGUCAAGUGACUUAGGAACAUCUACAGGGUGCCUGAUGUCUGUUAGACAAGGACAACUGUAGGUGGGCCUAAUUACUUGGGAGGUUCCGUCACAUAUUGCUUCGAAGGACGAAGAGCAUUAACCUUUAACAUUUUGUGUUGCCUUGUUCUUAAUUCAUAGCAUUUGAGAACAAGUCCCCAAAAGAAUUUGCAAAAACAAAACAAGUGGUGCAAAAGUGGUCCAAAAUAUUAAAUAGAAGAAAGAAAUCCAUUCACAUCUAGUAAGAUUAUAAAUUGGUUUAAUUCCAAGCAACCUAUGCACUUAUCUUAUGCAAACUAGUUCAUUUCUGCACUUUAUAUAUUUGCUUUGGUUUGUGUUGGCAUCAAUCACCAAAAAGGGAGAGAUUGAAAGGGAAACAGGGUUAACCUUUUCCCAGUAUUAAUUUUGGUGGUUGAAUGCCCAACACAAAUAUUGGACUAACUAGUUUGCUCUAGAUUAUAAGUUCUGCAGGUGCAUAAAGAUUCAACACAAACCAAUAAAAGAUUGAAGUUAGGGAUCAAAUUCAAAGGAGCAAAGAAACCGAGUGUGCUCUGGUCUGGCGCACCGGACUGUCCGGUGUGCCACCGGACAGUGUCUGGUGCACCAGGUCCAUACAAGAAUGAACUAGCCACUCUCUGGUUUCUCCAGGGGCGCUCCGCUAUAAUUCACCGGACUGUCCGGUGUGCCACCGGACUGUUCGGUGUAACAGCGGAGCAACAACUACUUCACGCAACGAUCGACUACAAAAGCGCGGUGAUCAGAUGAACAGUGAAGAACAGUGCACGUAGAGUCAGAGCCGCAGGUCAGAGGCGCACCGGACACUGAACAGUGCAUGUCCGGUGCGGCACCGGACUGUCCGGUGCCACUAGAGGACAAAGCCUCCAAUGGUCAAAAGCUCUAGAACCCUAACGGUUCGGUGAUGUGGCUGGCGCACCGGACUGUGUCCGGUGGCGAACGGGACUGUCCAGUGUGCCCAUCGACAGUAGCCUGCCCCAAUGGUUGUUUGGUGGUUGAGGGCUAUAAAUACCCCCUAACCACCACCACUCCAAGCAUCCAAGAUUUCUGAGUAUCACACUGAUUACAAGAGCUCUAGCAUUCACUCCUAGACACAAUUCAAAAGAUCAAAUCCUCUCCAAGUCCCCAAUUCAUCUCAAACACUUAGUGACUUGUGAGAGAGAGAUUUUGUGUUCUUUUGAGCUCUUGCCUCUUGGAUUGCCUUAUUCCUUUCUCAUUUCUUUUCUCAAGUGAUUUGUAAUCGAAGCAAGAGGCAGCUAAGUGUGUGGUGGUUCUUGCGGGGUCUAAGUGACCCGGGAGAUUAAGGAAAAGGCUCACUCGGUCUAGGUUACCGUUUGAGAGAGGGAAAGGGUUGAAAGAGACGGUCUUUGUGACCACCUCAACGGGGACUAGGUUCUUUAGAACCGAACCUCGGUAAAACAAAUUACCGUGUUCAUCCGCUUUAUUUCUUGGUUGAUUUGUUUUUCCCUCUCUACCGGACUCGAUUUAAAUUCUAACGCUAACCCCGACUUGUAGUUUGUGCUUUAAGUUGUAAAUUUCAGAUUACACCUAUUCACCCCCCCCCCUCUAGGCGACUUUCAUUACCCAUCUGCCAAGGGGUCAUGAAUCCCAUACACCUCUACCAAGGAAGAGAGGCAGGGUAAUACUACGAGGCCUUUACAAAGUUCCACUAGCUUCAGAAAACCCACUACAGUUUCUAGGAAGCUCCAAUGCAGGGAUCCCUCGCCUGACCGCCAUCGCAGCAAAAUCAACCCAAGAACCUCCCUACACUGACCACUCUCCUACUGCCCUUGCCCAUUUCGGGUAAGGUAGUCAUCCACUAGCUUUCCUAAUUAGUCAGCCAAGGGCAUCCCAUACUACCCUUGUGGUAGCACUGUUUUCCCGGGUGGUUCUCCAUGUUCCCGUUAAUAUAAUGAUCUUAUCAUGAACAUAAAUAACAUAACAUAAUAAUAGGAACAUAGAUAUAAUGAAAUAUUAACCCAAAUCCAUAUAAAGCAAUAGCAUAACUACCCAAUGAUUCAGGGGUAAAUAAGGUAAAAAGAUAAACAGAC
rnacentral:lncRNA from 1 species